UUUAAAAUGAAGGUCUGUCAACGUGUAGUCGCAAACCAAGCCGGUUUAAGGAAUACCGGGCGAAGAAGAUGACAGACCAAGCCAGGAAAAAUCGGUUUAACAUAAAAUGCAGCCAAAACUCAAAUGAAAACCGUGUAGUCGAGGCUUUUUGGGGGCUGCCAGGCCCAAAUGCGAGGCUUUUUGUGGGCUGCCAGGCCACUAAGUUGAACCAUUUAACAAAGCCUUUUAAGAUGGACCUCCAACUAACCAAUCACCGUUUUAACUUUGACAAGUGCAGGGUCUCAAGGAGAGUAACUGUCAAACAUUCGGAGGGUCGUGCCAGGAUGACCUGGAUAGGAGUGUCUUACUUGAUGAAGGCAGGUUAACCCGGGGUUUUAGGUAAAUGUACCAGGCUUCCAAGCCGUGGGUCGAUACCCAGCUACAAGGGUCCAUUCAGACUUCUUGGUAUUGGACCAAGGAGCCCCCAAGUAACGUGAUGAGCCGUGCUCAUUAGGUGCCUAUGUUUGAGUUGUGCAUAGCAUCGAAACUCUCUUUGGCCCUUUGGGUGUGAAGCUCCCAAGCUGUGUGAUGAGUUGUGCUCAUUGGGUGCCUAUGUUUGAGUUGUGCAUAGCAUCUAAACUCUCUUUGGCCCUUUGGGUGUGAAGCUCCCAAGCUUUGUGGCGUGAUAGCCGGUUUAACGGGUAGUACUUCUGCUUUGUCAGCUGAAGCCCCCAUGUAGCUCAAAGAAUAUUUGAGAAAAAACAGCAGAGGCCCCGCUUUAAAGCAAGGAUGCUGAUUUAUUUAUUGAUGAUAAUAUAUAUAUUGUCAAAAUAUGUACAUAAAAAAGAGCAUGUGGCUCAAGUGUAGUAAGGCCGGAGGAGAGCUAUGUUCCAGGGCCGUCGGGUCUCCUCCUCAGAUUUGCGUGAGUCAUCUUGAACGUCAAUGAGGUAGUAUGAUCCAUUGUGCAGAUUCUUGCUGACCACAAAGGGUCCUUCCCAAGGCGGGGAUAAUUUGUGUAUGCCGGUCUGAUCUUGGAUAAGCCGGAGCACCAAGUCACCUUCUUGAAAGGCUCUUGUCCUAACCCGACGGUUGUGAUAACGCCGUAGGUCUUGUUGAUAAACCGCCGAGCGUGACAAAGCCAUAUCCCGCUUCUCAUCUAGCAAAUCCAGUGCCCCUUGGCGGGCUUGCUCGUUGUACGCUUCAACGUAAUUAGCAACCCGGGGCGAAUCAUGACGUAUAUCACUUGGGAGAACCGCCUCUGCCUCGUAGACCAUAAAGAAAGGCGUGUAUCCUGUUGACCGAUUGGGGGUGGUGUUGAUGCUCCACAACACAGAAGGUAACUCUUCCACCCAACAACCCGGCAUCCGCUUCAAGGGAAUCAUGAGCCGGGGUUUAAGACCCUUUAAGAUUUCUUGAUUAGCUCGCUCUGCUUGACAGUUGGAUUGAGGGUGCGCCAAGAUGCUAGGUCAAGCCGGAUGUGCUUUCUCUGACAGAAAUCCUCCAUCUCACCUUUGGAGAUAUUAGUAUCAUUAUUCGUGAUAAUGCUGUGUGGGUAGCCAAAACGGAAAAUAAUCUUUUCGAGAAAUUGAACCGCCGUAGCUACAUCACAGUUGCUAACAGGCUCCGCUUCAACCCAUUUGGUGAAUUUAUCAACUGCCACCAACAGGUGGGUCUUCUUGUCCCGGGAACGUUUAAAGGGUCCCACCAUAUCAAGCCCCCAAGUAGCAAAAGGCCAAGUGAUGGGAAUCAUCCGUAGCUCCUGAGCCGGAACAUGAGCUCUGCGUGAAAUUUUUUGACAAGCAUCACAUUGCUUUACCAGAUCCUCCGCAUCAGCAUGAGCUGUCAACCAGUAAAACCCGUGACGAAAAGCUUUUGCAACCAGGGACUUUGAACCGGCAUGAUGACCACAAUCCCCUUCAUGAAUUUCCCGGAGGAUCGCUUGGCCUUCCUCCGGAGAAACACAACGCUGAAAUACGCCUGAAACGCUACAGCGGUGCAACUCGCCAUUGUGAACAACCAUGGACUUAGAGCGCCGGACUAUCUGUCGGGCCAGGACUUGAUCAUUUGGUAGCUCACCCCGGCUCAUAUAUGCCAGAUAUGGAACCGUCCAAUCCGGCACGACGUGUAAAGCGGCCACCAGCUGCGCCUCCGGAUCAGGAACAGCCAGAUCCUCUUCUGUUGGCAAUUUAACAGACGGCUUAUGCAAGAUAUCUAAAAAGGUGUUAGGAGGUACCGGUUUACGCUGAGAUCCAAGUCGGCUCAAAGCGUCUGCCGCUUCGUUUUUGCGUCGAUCAAUAUGCUCAACCUGGUAACCUUUGAAGUGACCCGCCACAAUAUCUACCUCAUGCCUGUAAGCCACCAUGAGUGGAUCCUUAGAAUCCCAAGUACCAGAAACUUGUUGAGCCACCAAAUCAGAAUCUCCGAAACAAUGAACUCGAGUUAAGUUCAUCUCUUUAGCCACACGGAGACCAUGAAGUAGAGCUUCAUACUCAGCUGCAUUGUUAGUACAAGGAAACAUCAAGCGGAGGACAUAGCAAAUUUUAUCACCUCAGGGGGAAGUAAGGACAACUCCAGCCCCCGAGCCUUCCAACUGCCGUGAUCCGUCGAAAUGAAUAGUCCAGUACGUAUUAUCCGGCUUCUCUUCCGGUGCUUGUAACUCGGUCCAGUCAUUGAUAAAGUCCACAAGAGCCUGAGACUUGAUGGUUGUUCGAGGUACAUAUUUCAAACCAUGUGGACCAAGCUUAAUUGCCCACUUUCCAACCCGACCAGUUGCUUCUCUGUUUUGGAUGAUAUCGCCCAAGGGAGCAGAACUAACCACUGUGAUGGGGUGACCUUGAAAAUAUUGCUUUAGCUUUCGGCUGGCCAUAAAAACCCCAUACACCAACUUCUGCCGAUGCGGAUAGCGUUGCUUUGAUUCGAUCAGAACUUCACUGAUGUAGUAUACUGGUCGUUGAACCGGAUACUCCUUCCCAGCCUCUUUACGCUCUACCACAAUUGCCACACUGACCGCUCGGGCAUUAGCAGCCACAUAUAAUAGUAAAGUCUCAUGAUCAACUGGGGCUGCGAGAACCGGCGGUUCAAUCAACUGCCGUUUUAACUCCUCAAAGGCCGCAUUGGCCGCAUCACUCCAAACGAAAUUAUCCGUCUUCUUCAGCAUCUGAUACAAGGGAAUGGCCUUCUCACCCAGACGACUGAUAAACCGGCUGAGGGCCGCAAUCCGGCCUGCGAGACGCUGAACAUCAUUGAUACAUGUCGGUUUAGCCAAGGAUGUGAUUGCCUUGAUCUUUUCCGGAUUAGCCUCAAUGCCCCUGUUAGACACAAGAAAACCAAGCAGCUUGCCUGCCGGAACACCAAAGACACAUUUAUCCGGGUUAAGCAUCAUCUUGUAAACCCGGAGGUUGUCAAAUGUCUCCUUGAGAUCAGCUAUCAAUGUCUCCUUUUCCCUGGAUUUCACCACAAUGUCAUCCACAUAGGCAUGAACAUUACACCCAAUCUGCGUGUGAAGACAAUUUUGCACACAAUGCUGAUAAGUUGCCUGAGCACUCUUGAGCCCAAAGGCCAUAGAAACAUAGCAGAAGGCUCCAAAGGGAGUGAUGAAAGUUGUCUUCUCCUGGUCCUUAACUGCCAUUUUGAUCUGAUGGUACCCUGAGUAAGCAUCCAAAAAACGCAAGCGCUCACAACCCGCCGUCGCAUCAAUGAUCUGAUCAAUACGCGGGAGAGCAAAAGGAUCGGCCGGGCAAGCCUUAUUUAAGUCCGUGUAGUCCAUACACAUACGCCAAGUCCCGUUUUUCUUAAGAACCAGCACCGGAUUAGCCAACCAUUCAGGAUGAAACACUUCAACGAUAAACCCAGCAGCCAACAGCCGGGCUACCUCUUCCCCAAUUGCCUUGCGUCUCUCUUCAUUAAAGCGACGAAGAAAUUGCUUGACCGGUUUAAACUUCGGAUCAAUAUUAAGAGUGUGCUCAGCGAGUUCCCUCGGUACACCUGGCAUGUCAGAAGGCUUCCACGCAAAGAUGUUCCAGUUCUCACGGAUGAACUCGAUGAGCGCGCUUUCCUAUUUUGGAUCCAGAUUGGUGCUGAUGCUGAACUGCUUGGAUGAAUCGCCAGGUACAAAGUCAACAAGCUUCGUCUCGUCAGCCGGUUUGAAGUGUAGGGUUGGGUCAUGCUCAGUGGUGGGCUUCUUCAGAGGGGUCAUAUCAGCCGGAUCAACAUUCUCCUUGUAAAACUUUAACUCCUCUGUAGCACAAACCGACUCAGCGUAAGCCGCAUCACUCUCUUCGCAAUCCAAAGCGAUUUUUUGACUUCCAUGAACCGUGAUGGUUACUUUGUGACCCGGCAUCUUGAGCUGCAAGUAAAUAUAACAAGGCCUGGACAUGAAUUUUGCAUAAGCCGGUCGUCCGAACAGUGCGUGAUACGGGCUCUGGAUUCUCACCACCUCAAAAGUCAAUGUCUCAGACCGGGAAUCAUGUUCAUCCCCAAACACAACUUCCAAGGCAAUCUUGCCCACUGGAUAUGCUGACUUUCCUGGUACCACGCCAUGGAACACAGUAUUGGACGGUUUAAGAUUCUUAUCUGUCAACCCCAUUCGACGGAAUGUCUCAUAAUACAGAAUGUUAAUACUGCUUCCUCCAUCCAUGAGUACUUUGGUGAGCUUGUGACCUCCCACCUGAGGUGCCACCACCAGAGCUAGCUGACCCGGAUUGUCAACCCGGGGCGGAUGAUCCUCCCUACUCCACACGAUAGGUUGUUCCGACCACCGCAGAUAGCCUGGAACUGCCGGUUCAACCGCAUUGACUGCCCUUUUAUGCAGCUUCAGAUCACGCUUGCACAGACUAGUGGUGAAUACAUGAUAUUGUCCACCAUUCAGCUGCUUCGGGUGACUCUGGUAACCCGACUGUUGCCGAUUCCCUUGACCACUCUGUUGGUUAUUGCCACCUUGGUUGUUCUGGUUACUAUGAUUAUUCUGAAACCCAGAGCUUGAACCGCCGCCACCAUGAAAACCAGGACAUGAACCGCCCGACGGGCCCUGAUCAUACCGGAAGAGAUCAGAAUUUUUGAACUCCUUCAUGAUGUUGCAAUCCUUCCAGAGAUGUGUUGCAGGGACUUCUUUGGUUCCAUGCUUUGGACAGGGCUGAUUCAACAAGCGCUCCAGAUUCAUCGCCCCACCACGCUGGGGCGGUUUACCCCUACGACACUGCACAUUAGCAUUAGCCACAAAAAUCUGAAUCUGCUUUACGCUUACCAUUAUUCCCAUGGCCUCCCUGGUUGUGCUGCUGUCCCUUCGCACCACCAUUCCUCUUUCCCUUCUCCGGUUUCUCAUUGUCAGAAUCGGGAUACUUGGUAUUAUCAGAAUCGGCGUAUUUUACCAAGGCUUCCAUGAGGGUUCCCAGGUCGUUGCAGUGGCGCUUGAGCCGUCCCAACUUCUCCUUCAGUGACUUAAACCGGCAAUUACGUUCCAGCGUUAUAAUCGCUUGGCCAUCGUUAAUCCGGUCGGACGAGUGCAAAACUUCUGAGACCCGGCGCACCCAAUGAGUUGUGGACUCGUUCUCACCCUGAACGCAAGCAUCCAUAUCUAUAAUGGACAUGGGCUGUUUGCACGUAUCCUUAAAAUUGGCUAUAAAUCGGGCCUUCAACUGAUCCCAUGACUCGAUGGAAUUAGCUGGUAGAUUUUUCAACCAAGUGCGGGUUGGUCCUUCCAACAUCAUCGUGAAGUACUUUGCACAAGCUGCUUCAUCCACAUCCAGCAUCUCCAUUGCCAUCUCAUAAGUCUCGAUCCACGCCUCAGGCGGCUGAUCUGUCGUAUAGUUAGGCACCUUGCGCGGUCCCUUGAAAUCCUUGGGCAGACGCAUGUUACGGAGAGCCGGAAUAAGGCACGGUACUUCCCAGGAACUGAAAGCAAGCCCGAUGCCUUUGUCAACCAACACUGUUGGCUGAACCGGGGCGGGUUGAUAACGAUCCAAAGCGCCAUCCCUUCGAGCCCUGCCAUGGUCCACUACCUCCUGAGCAUUGCGACGUCGCGCGCUGCUGGACACCUCUGGUUCGUCCAUCCGCCUGCUAUAACUUGGGCUCUGACGAGGGGUUGAAUGGAUCUUGUCCUGGCUAUAUGAAUAAGCCUGUUGCUGCACUACGGCGGUUUGAAGAAGAUCUCUCGCCCGCCGUGUCUCAACCGCCUCUACUGAAUCUCCUUCCAUUGGAAUGGCUGCCAAGCGUGAAGCCGCAGCAAUCAUGUUAUCCAGGGGCUCGAAAAGUGACCCGGUGGUGUAGGCACCUACUGUGGCGGGUUAACUGUCCGUCGGGGUAGCUCCAUUGCCCGUGGCUGAUCCGGGGCGAUCCUCGGUGCUUCGGCUCGGUCUGCGGCUUCCUGAUUGCUCGGCCUAGCGCCUGGGGUCUGAAAGAGAUUUAACCCUUCAUAAACCGGCGGCAGGCGCAACCAAUACUUCCUUCGUAACACCUCCUCUGACGCGGUCCGGUCCAGCAUGAGCCGGUAAUUCUAUGCUUGUAUCUGCUGUGCUUGAGCAUUCAAAGUGGCAUGUUCCUCAGCCAUCCUACUAUCCUUAGCCACUAGGUCCGCCUUAGCCUGCGUAAUCUGCUCCUUCAGCCUCGCAACUUCUGCAUUGUUCUGAUUCUGCAUAUCCAGGGUGACUAUCGCAGUUAACAAGGUUGCCCAAGCGUCCAUUAAACCGGAGAGAACCUGCGCCGGCCGACGCGCUGAGGUACCUGCCGCGGCCGCUGAUCCGGUAGUCAUUGCCGCGGUCGAUGAAGACUGUAAUACAGGUUGCGUGCCGGCCAUGUAAAUAGCAACCCGGCUCGGCGCUUCAGGAAGGUCCAGAAUACUAUUGCCAUCGGAAUAUCCCUCGGGCAUACCGUCAUGAAUCUGGUACAAGGACUCGGUUUCGCCAGUGGAUGACUCACCGUCGGAAUAUACCGCCGUGUCGCCUUCACACACCGGUUCAGAUCCGAUCCCAUGGACGCAUCCUACGAAUGCACGCUUCACGGCAGGCGUAACCCGGGCUGGACUCGCACGCUGAGCCGUCUCGACGAGGUCGGCGUAGAUGUCCGGCUCAGGGCCCGGUUCGCCGACCUUGCCAAUGAAGACGUGAAUUCCGCCGAAGGGGACCUGGUACCCGCACUCAAUUGAGCCGGCCUCAGGGCCCCAUCCUUCGUCGUCGAUGUAAAGCUUGCCGCGACGACUUUUGGUCAUCCGGCCGAUCACGUACCCCUUAAGUCCUUCAGAGCAGCCCUUCAAGAACUCGACACCAUCGUGCGAUAGCCCCACGGUGGGCGCCAACUGUCGUGGAAUUAUCAUGUCAGAUGUCCUCGUGAAUGGACUUAGUCGUGGAGCCAUCGCAACGGGUUAGCUUGAAGGGGUUAAACCGGACAAGGGACACGGGAGUUAUACUAGUUCGGCCCCUUCGAUGAUGGUAAAAGCCUACGUCUAGUUUGUGAUGGGAUUGAUUGGGUUUCGAUGAUCAGGGAGCGGAAUACGCUUGCCUGAGUCUUGAGUUGUUGUUUGUUGUCCCUAAACCGCCACCGGGUCGCCCCUUUAUAUACACAGGUUGACGCCCGGCCGGUUUACAGAGUCCCGAGGCCGACUCAUACAAAGUGUUCGGCUCGGUCUCUCCUUUCCUAACUUAUAAUACAAGUUUACAUAGUCAUGGCGGUUUUACCACUAUGGGCCGUAAUCCGCCUUUGGGCUUCGGGCUUCUAUGCUUCUUUAGUAAAGCGCCAUCUUCUGGAUCUUCAUGGGCUUUAACAUAAUCAGGGGUGAACCAGACCCUCCUGGCCGGUUUAUACUCAGUAGCUAUAUCCUCCACACAUAGCAUGAAACAUAUGGAUCCAAAUCAGCCCCUUACGAAGCAACGCAUAAACUAGGGUUUAAGCUUCUGUCACUCUAGCAACCCAUCAUCUACUUAUUACUUCCCAAUGCCUUCCUCUAGGCCCAAAUAAUGGUGAAGUGUCAUGUAGUCGACGUUCACAUAACACCACUAGAGGAGAGACAACAUACAUCUCAUCAAAAUAUCGAACGAAUACCAAAUUCACAUGACUACUAAUAGCAAGACUUCACCCAUGUCCUAAGGAACAAACGUAACUACUCACAAAGCAUAUUCAUGUUCAUGAUCAGAGGAGUAUUAAUAUGCAUUAAGGAUCUGAACAUAUGAUCUUCCACCAAGUAAACCAAUUAGCAUCAACUACAAGGAGUAAGCAACACUACUAGCAACCCACAGGUACCAAUUUGUGGUUUUGAUACAAGAUUGGAUACAAGAGAUGAACUAGGGUUUUGAGAGGAGAUGGUGCUGGUGAAGAUGUUGAUGGAGAUUGACCCCCUCCCGAUGAUAGGAUCAUUGGUGAUGAUGAUGGUGAUGAUUUCCCCCUCCCGGAGGGAAGUUUCCCCGGCAGAAUAGCUCCGUCAGAGCCCUAGAUUGGUUCCGCCAAGGUUCCGCCUCGUGGCGGUGGAGUUUCGUCUCGUAAGGUUGCUUAUGAUUUUUUCCAGGGUAAAAGCCUUCAUAUAGCAGAAGAUGGGCACCAGAGGGCCACCAGGGGAGCCAGAAGACAGGGGCGCCCCCCCCCCCACCCUCCUGGCCAAGGUGUGGGCCCCCUCAGGUACUUUCUUUGCUCAAAUAUUCUUAUUAAUUACAAAAAGGAUCUUCGUGGAGUUUCAGGACUUUUGGAGCUAUGCAGAAUAGGUUUCCAAUAUUUGCUCCUUUUCCAGCCAGAAUCCCAACUACCGGCAUUCUCCCUCUUCAUGAUAAACCUUGUAAAAGAAGAGAGAAUAGCCAUAAGUAUUAUGACAUAACGUGUAAUAACAGCCCAUAAUGCAAUAAAUAUUGAUAUAAAAGCAUGAUGCAAAAUGGACAUAUCAGUGCUGUUAGCAUGCCCCCACUAAUUUCAGUUCCCACUCGACAAGCCUUGUCUAGUUCGAGUGGAAGUGCUGCAGAAAACAUACGAGAUGAUGGAGCAGACGUCUGGACUGGUGGAGUAAGAGCUUGAACUUGCACAACGGGCUCGGGAGCUUGAGCAGUCGACGUAGAAGGCCGGUCAGUCGACAAAGGAACGGCAAAAGAAAUAGAAGCCUGUGCUGGAUCGCUGACCGGAUGGAUCACGGGCUCAGAAGACGAGCGAGGCAUCCUGGACCCUGGCACCCUCUUGCUCAGAUUUUGACCUUUCUUCCCAGUAUUCUUCCGAAGCUCAUCCUCGUCAUCAUCAGCAGGGAGUUGAAUGAUAUUCUCUGGCGCUGCAAAACACUCGACAGUGAAAUUCCAGUCGGCCACAAAAAUCUAUUAACAGAACACAGAUAAGUCACAAAGCCUUACCCGGUCGAGAGGUGGCCGCAUCUGAUGUUUCCGCAUUGCCACGAUCUUCAUCAAUGUCCAUGUGGAUCGCAGAGCCAUAGGCAGCACUGAAAAUUCCAGAUUUCACUCGGUCAAACAAGCCAAUGAGUCUACAGAAGAACACAGAAAAAUACAUGAAAGAAGUGCUUACGUUGAUGUCACUGGCAUGACCACUUGAUCCUUGGCAUGGCCUUUCGGGGCUUGGGCGGAGCAACUUUGGCCUGCUUUGGAGCCUUUUCAGUCGGCUCAGGAGUUAAGGUGCGAGUGCGCUUGGGAACUUUGGCACUCGACACGGCAGCCUUGCCCUGUCCCCCUGCAGGAUCUUGCUGCUAUCUGGAUCAACAUUCGGAACGAUGCAGUGAGUCGACUUACUCAUUGCUGCUGCUCGAGUCCUCGCUCUCCUCUUCACUAUCUUCGGCAUCUUCAUCGUCACUGUCUUCACUGUCACUGUCAAUUCCCUCAUGAAACUCCUCUCUGUUGGGCAUAGAGUGGAGCUUGGGGAAAACCUACAAAAUGCAAGUUGUGUACAUGAGUCGGAUUCAAGAAAAGCACUCAACAAAGAUAAAAAGGAAAAGAACUUGGAUAGGCGAGUCUGACCUCUCCAGGAGCACGGGUGGCGUCGAAUGGCAGAAUCCUCCUGGCCCCCCCUUGGGUUAUCCUUGUUACCAAUAACACUCCAGAGCCACUGGGCCACUGUCUCCUUGUCAACCUCCUCCGGGUGGGUACGAGCAGUGUCAUCCGAGCCCGAGUACAUCCACAUGGGAUGGUCACGAGCUUGCAGAGGCUGGAUCCGUCGACUGAGAAAUACCUCCAGCGGGUCCAUCCCCGUCACUCCUCCCUUCACCAACUCGACAACAUCCACAACUAGCAUUUGCACUUCCUCUUUCUCCUCUGGGGCUACCACUAGCGAGCAAAGAGACUGAAGUCUUUCUAGAGUGAAAGGAGGGAGGCCAAUUGACUGACCGGGAGUCGGAACAUCCUUGCAUUAGAACCAGGUCCACUGCCACCCCCUAACAAAUUUAGGAAAAGUCACAGGGGGAAACAGCUCCUACCCCUCGUUUGGAUCCCUAUCCCCCUGCACAUUUGGAUCACAUGAGUUUUCUGGUCGACUGGGUUAGCUUUCUUCACCGUCUGAGAUCGACAAGUGAAUAUAUGCUUGAAAAUACCCCAGUGCGGGUGGCAGCCCAAGAAAUUUUCACACAUGGAGAUGAAAGCAGCAAGAUACAAGAUAGUGUUUCGAGGGAAAUGAUGGAUCUGAGCCCCAAAGAAGUUCAAAAACCCUCGAAAGAACGGGUGUGAAGGCAAAGAAAAACCACGCUCGACAUGGGUGGUGAGGAGAACGCACUCACCAUUGCGCGGCUGCGGCUCGAACUCCUCCCCGGGCAGUCUCCAUGACCCGGGUUUAAUCAGGCCGUCAUGACCGAGGUUCUCCAAGUCCUGUUGCGAGACCGUCAAGCGAGUCCAAUCGCCCUGGAUCUAGCCAGGCGGGAGAGCAGAACACGACGAUGAACCCCUCGCCGUUUUCUUCCCCUUCGCCAUCGUCGACGCCUUCUUCGCGCGCUCUAGAGCUGUGGUCUUCUCCUUCACCAUUGUGUGGAGCUCAAGAGGGCCAAGGAGAGGUGUGGGGAGCAAGGAGAACAGGGGCAGAGAAGAAGAGAGGAUAGAGAUCGAUUUAAAGCACUAUGCCACGCAUCGGCUUCAAUGCCUUAUAUGGGGCUGGCUUUGAGUGGCUGACCAGUGGCCCCCAGCGAUCAAAUCAGAUCCCAUCACAGGCACAGGAGUGAUACGUGGCGAAAAAGGCGGCGCGGAGAUUGAGGCGUCCCGGCCCGAUUCAUUCCGCUUAUCGUGCCACGCCUCGUCCGGCAUGCUUCUCUGAAAAUUUGAAUCCCCUAAAAUCCAGAAAUCGCGGAGCAGUCAAUCGCGUCUAAGAUUUCAUGUCCUAAUCCACUCGGUGGAUUACUACAUUUAUUCACUCGAUUGCUUCAAGUCAUCAAAAUCGAUCGAUCCAACUGAAGCAAGUUUGGGAGUUCCCAUGCGUCUUCCAGACUUUAAUGAGAUGUCCCAAGAGCAUUUGACUGAGUCGGAGACAACUUCAAAUUUUUCUCCACUCGGACCUCAAUCCAUUCGGGGGCUAAUGACAAGGACAUUUACCUAGGGUAGGGUCCUAGGCCUGACCUAGGCACCCCACCCAAGGACACUGACCUACAGUCAAAGGCACUCAAGGACCAACAGAGAAAAGUGACUGGAAUCAUCCUGAGGUACAGUCCACUCGAAAGAAGGUUCCACUCGAAUACCCCAUUUCCACUCGACCACAACAUAGUCACUCGACUGCAUGAAGAACCACUUGGUGUAUAGAAGAUCUAAAGACAUCCCAGGAUGGCAACAGUCAGGCAUUCACCCUGUAGUCUUAAUGGUCAUUUAUGGCAGGCGUUACCAGUAAUGCCCCAUCUUAACUCACAUUGAACCCUGUGUAACGGAGGUGAGAGAGGGUCCUCGCGCACUCUAUAUAAGCCACCCUCCUCCUCUGGCACAAGGGUUCGCACCCCCUGUAACAUCCGCACAUAUUCAGUCGACACAACCUCAAGGCACCGAGAUGUAGGGCUUUUACUUCCUCCGAGAAGGGCCUGAACUCGUAAACUUGCUUGUACAACCUCAACAUAGCUAGGACCUUGCCUCCUCUUACGUACCCCCUAUUCUUACUGUCAAACUUGUGAUAUGGAAGAAAUAAAAGCGACGGACUGCAUAAUAAAGGUCCUUAUCACAAGCGGCAAUAUAAAGUGACAUUCUUUUGCAUUAAGAUUUUUUGCAUCAAACCAUAAAAGCACAUGACAACCACUGUUUCCCUCUGCGAAGGGCCUAUCUUUUACUUUUAUCUUCUACCCUUAUACAAGAGUCUUGGUGAUCAUCACCUUUCCUUCUUACACUUUUUCCUUUGGCAAGCACUUUGUGUUGGAGCGAUCUGGAUAUAUAUAUCCACUUGGAUGUAGGUUUUCAUAAAGUAUUAUUGUUGACAUUACCCUUGAGGUAAAAGGUUGGGAGGCGAAACUAUAAGCCCCGAUCUUUCUCUAUGUCCGAUUAAAACUUUGAACCCAUAAAUAUCACAUGAGUGUUAGCAAUUGUGAAAGAUUAAAUGAUAGUUGAUUAUGUGGAGUUUGCUGAAUCAAAUCUCUUACAUAGACCCUUCCUGAAAAUAAGAUGAAUUGCAAUCGUUUGAUGACUGAGAACAUAGUUUGUUAGUUUUCAAGAAAGUUUGUGAUCUAUACUUUAACAUGUGAAUAGCUUGUUACUUGAUCAUGAGAAGUUUUAUGAGUUGACAUGCUGUUAUGAUAUAUAAUGAUGCUAGAAAAAGUGAUUGAAACUAUCAUUGAUCAAACUUAUGCACUUGCUAGCAUUCACACUUCAUAAAUUAUUUCUUUUAUCAUUUAGCUACUCGAGGACGAGCAUGAAUUAAGCUUGGGGAUGUUGAUACGUCUCCAACGUAUCUAUAAUUUAUUAAGUAUUCGUGCCAUGUUUACAAUAUUUUUACAUGAUUUUGGUAUGAUUUGAUUAGAACUAACCCGGACUGACGUUGUUUCAGCAAAACUACCGUGGUGUUGUUUUUGUGCAGAAAUAAAAGUUCUCAAAAUGCGCUGAAAAUCAACAGAGAAUAUUUUUGGAAAAUAUAAAAAAUACUGGAACAAAAAGCUACCGGAGGGGAGUCUCGAGGCCACAACAAGGGUGGAGGACAUAGCCACGCCCCUAGGGCAUGCCUCCCUGCCUCGUGGGCUACCCGUGGGCCCCCUUGACGUGAAACCGAUGCCAACCCUUCAUAUAAAUCCUAAAAACUCCAGAACAGAAGAGAGAUCGGAAGUUCCGUUGCCGCAAGCCUCUGUAGCCACGAGAAAUCAACCUAGGCCCUCUUUGGCACCCUGCGGGAGUGGGCCAUCAUCUCCGAAGGCCAUGGGGAAGGAUCUCGGAGGGGCCAUCAUUGUCAUGAAGGCCAAGGACCAGAGGGAGAACCUCUCCCCAUCCAGGGGGAGAGGCCAUGGAGGAGGAAGCACAAGGGGGAGAACCUCUCCUCCUCUCUCUCGGUGGUGCCUGUCGGUGUCAAAACUGGCUGAUCUCGGGUAGGGGGGCCCAAGCUGUAUGUUUGAGGAUUAAUGGUGACUAUGGACAAAGGAAAUGGUGUUUUACCCAAGUUCUGGCCCUCUUAAUGGAGGUAAAACCCUACUCCUGCUUGAUUAUAUUCGAGGGUAUAGGGGUUACAAGAGGUGAUCUACCUCGAGAUCAAUUCGGCUAACCCUAGAUAGCUAGCCUAGCAAUGUUGUGAUCCUGCCUUCGGUCUACCCUUCGGUUUAUAUAGACACCGGAAGGGCUUAGGGUUGUACAAUGUCGGUUCUACAGAAAGGAGUAAGAUAUCCGGACACCUAUACUUGCCAUCCAUGCAUACGGGAGUCCCCACCUGACACGAGAGAUAAUCUUCUGUCUUAUAUCUUGACGGCCCAUCAGUCCAGUCCACAUCAAUAGACCAGAUGCCCGAGGACCCCCUAGUCUAGGUCUCCCACAGUAGCCCCUGAACCAGUCUUCAAUGAUGAUAUAUUCGGUGUUCAGAUAGUCUUCGGCAUUGCAAGGUGGAUUCCUUGAAGAAUACACAUCGGCUUUCCUAUGUAAAAGCAUUGUAUCCGGCUUUGAAUAAUGAACACAACCCUUAGCCGCGAAGGCAGGAUAUAUAAAAAAUGAGAACAAUGUCUCUUACUGACAACUUUUUUGACAAAGCGUCGGACUUGACCCUUCGGCUCUUUGAACCAUUUUCACACCCCACACUCCGUGUUUCAAGGCCACGCCUCAUUGGCACAUCCUGUCAAAACUGAGAUUGUGCCCACAUAAUACGGGAUUGCACAUCAAUGGUAUUUGGGUAAUCCAACCGACUGCGGCGCAUAGCCACAUUAGGAACAAGCGAGGUUUUAAGGCUAGGGGGCGGUCUCUCGGCAUUCACGGCCUAUAUAAAUGGAUAAAGAUCCAUCCUUUCUAUCCCACGCCUUCUUCCUCCCUCAGCCUUCCCAUCUUCGAGCUCCAGCACCCAAGCUUUGAUCUUCCCGCUGCCACCAACUUCUCCAGCCAUGUCCGGAUCCGGCUCUCAAGGCAAGUGGGUGGCCUCCUCCGUGAAGGAGAAGGACAUCAAGGAGCUCCAAGAAGCGGGGUACCUGAGUGCGGACAUCGCGCACAGGAUCCCUGCCAAGAAGCAGGUCAUCCCCACUCUGGGGCCUGGCGAAAGGGAGGUACUUAUCCCCCACUUCCUCCGUGGACUAGGGUUUCCACUUCACCCUUUUGUCUGUGGCCUCAUGUUUUAUUACGGGCUAGAUUUCCAUGAUAUAUCCCCAAACUCCUUCCUUCAUAUCUCGGCAUUUAUCAUCGUGUGCGAGGCGCUCCUCCGCAUUCCCCCCCCCCCCACACACACACACACUUUGGCUUAUGGCUCAAGGUCUUCAACAUGAAGCCGAAGGUGGUUGACGGGCAGCACGCAGAUUGCAGAGGUGCUAUGGUGAGCAAACUCCCCAACGUCACCUGGCACGAAGGGGCCUUCGUGGAAACCAUCAAGAUAUGGCAGCAGGAGUUCUACAUCACCGAACCCCGCGGCGCCAACUGGGCGGCCACUCCCGAGUUUAAAUCCGGACCCCCAAUGCGGCCCGCGUCGUGGAUCAACAAGGGUCUGGACUGGGGGUCGACCGACGAAGUGUUGAUGUUGCAAAAGCACAUCAAAAACAUUAUAGAAAAGGGCACCAACCUCACUGACGUGAUCCUGGUGAUGCUAUUCCGUCGGACCCUUCCCUGCCAGCGUCGGCCUCUCCAUAUGUGGGAGUUCAAUCCGGAAGGGCCGCGGACCCUGCAGCGAUUCUUCGGCACGACGCAUGAAGAGAUCUGGAAGCUGCUUUUCAAAGCCUAGAAGUCGUGGCCAGAGACGACCGACGACAUCGGCCUCGACUGUGCCCACCCAGCCACCCCGGUAAGUUUUUUAGAUUCCGAACAUAACUUAGUUCAGAAAUCACAGGGGUAUAUUGAGACUUCCAUCCUUUAAUCAGGGAUGGAUGAAGAAGGUGAAGUGAAUCAAGUGUCCGGCUCCGCUGCCCGAAAACCCAGCUGGUCCUCUACUGAUGAGGAUGCUAGUCCCGACGCCGUACUAGGCGCCGGAGAAGAAGGCCAAGAAGAAGGGCAAGGAGGCCAAAAGCGGACCCCGCUGUAAAGGUACUCUGUACGUUGUGUCUGGGGAUUCUGAAUCUCUCUCCUCCCACGAGGAAGAUGAAGAAAAAAGGAGGAGGAGGGAGAGAGCGAUUCUUCCCUUAAGGGGAUGAAGAAGAAAAGAGCGGCCUCCGUAGACACAGAGGCGGAGGCGUCCAAGAGGGGGAAGAUAUCCUUCUCGGACGACUCGAAUUCGGAUGUCGAAGCCAUCCCCGAGCAGCGCCCUAGGUCGAAGCCCCUGGCCGAUUCGUAAGUAUCCAAGGAUGCCUUACAUAUAUCAGCAUUUAUGAUUGUAGUUUUUAAUACAUUAUAUUGUGUGCUUCAGUCCGGCCCACGAUCUCCCCCAACUAUCCUCAUCUCCGGGGAACUCGCUGGAGCCAGGGAUGGUGGAGAGCGAGACGCCUCUGCGGGCCUCUCCGCCAACCGCUACAGAUGACACCGAAGUUUUGUCCCAAAGAGUCUCUCCGGGCCAUGGAGAGGUGUGGGAGGCUGCCAAGAUGGUGCCAGGGGGUAGUACCUCGGCUGCCGAGAACAUGGGGGAACCAGCCCCCAUGGAGACGGACGACGGGGACUGUGACCAAACCGGCCCCCAGCCGAACACUAUUCUGGAGACCCACACGGCUCCGAAAUUGAGCGAGCAAUCCCCUUUGAAGGAGGGGGAGCGUCGACUCCACCGGCUACCUCCGUCAAUCCGGAGGCGUUGGACACUUUGGUGGAAGCACUUCGUCAUGCUUCCGUCGUGGAGGAGCAUCGUACCCUGAUGGGUAUGGUGGUUGAGAAGAUUCAGUCCGCCAAAAGCGGGCUGAACGAAGCCUUCACCGGCCUAUUAACAGGAUUUGAGGUAUUCGAUGUAAUCUUCUAACCAAUUUUAAUAAAGGAAUAUGCCUGUGUAUAGAUAGUAGCCCUUGAGACUUUGUCCGGCUUUGGCAAAGCCGGACAGAGGAUCACAUAGUGUUCGAAAGAGGUGACGCAUUACUCUAUUGUACGACAGGCCUCCUUAAUGGCGGCGAGCGCCCAGGCCGGCGAAGUUUCCGAACUCACUCAGAAGCUGCGGCUGGCCGAUGAAGAAGUAGUCUGCAUCAACAAGCGGUUUGAGGAGACGCAAGGUAUGCGUGCAUUGAGGAGUUUGAUCAUAUAUCUCCAAUGGUAUAUCCGAAAAUUGUGUAAGUUUAAUCAUUUCUAAACUGACUAAAAAUGUAUAAAUAUACUCAUAGUUGGCGCCAACGAGAUCGAGUCCCCCAAGAGCGCCCUCGCUGAAGCCGAGAAGGAGGCGGAGGCGAGCAAGGCAGCCGCGGACAAAGCGGUCAAAAAUUUAGAGGAGGAGCAAAGCACCCGACGACGACAUGAGGCAAGGGUGGGGGAGGUCGAAAAAGACCUCAAGGACGCCACCGCUAGAUGCGAGGUCUUGGAACAGAAGAGUUCGGAGAAGACCUCUGAGCUCACCAAAGCUCUUGAGAGCCUGAAGGAAGCCCGUGUUGAUGCCCCAGGGCGCUCGCCAGGAGAUCCAAGAGGCGAGGCGAAUUGCGGCUGGUAAGGCCUUUAUCAUGCAGAGUAGAUAUACUAGUAGGAGAUAUAUUUUACUAACCCGAGUUCGGAGUUCUCCAGGCGCUUUUGCGGAUCUGCCGACGAGUAUCACGGAUGCCGCCGCAUUCUUCCGAGCCGAAGAGGGGUGCUAAACAGAGAAGUUGUUAUGGCCGCAGUACAUUGUGCCAGACCUUCCAGUGCCCCUGAGCGACCAGCUGAAGCAGUUGUCCGAGUUGCAUAGGGUGGCCGGAUUGGCCAUGAAGGACGUAAUAGUCCGUCUAUGGCCGGACGAGGCCAUACCUAGCAGCCAUUUCGGACUCGGGAAGAGGCUGGUGGAGGCGCUUCCUCGGAUCGAUGUCCUUAAGCAGUCGUCCUGUAUUGAAGGUGCUCGGAUGGCCUUCGCCCGUGUCAAGGUGCAGUGGGCGAAAAUGAAGGCCACCGAGAUUGCCAUUGCAGGGCCUCCUGAGGGCAAGGAGCACUGGUGGCUAGAGAGGUACUUCGACGAGGUCCUCGAGGGAGCCCGUAUUGUAGAAGGCCAGUGCUCCAAUGACAUCAUAUUUGAGUAGUUGUGUUCGGUUUGUAAGAGUCAUGUAAUGAACUCAUGAUGUAAAAGAUAUUAUGCUUUUUGUGAUUAUUUUAUCCUCCUAUUUGGGUCGUUUAUAUGUCUGAAAGUUUACCACUCGUCGGCUUCAGCCCCCACAUAAAUAUUACAUGGGUGUUCGGGAACACAGGACAGCACUUGAUCCAAUGUCUUGGUCCAAUGUAGGAGGCGUCUUGCAGAGUGAACUAGGAAAUUAGAGUAUGCGGCUUUAGUACUUUCACUUAGCCAUAAGAGUCCAUUGGUGGCGCUAAGUACUAGCCCCUCGUUGCAUGAUCGGCAAUUCGGAGUGCGGUGCCUUUGCAACACGGCUGGUCGAAAACCCAGCCCCUCGUAUAACACGGCAUAAAUCGCGAAUGAUUCGUAGUAUGACACUAAGUCACCGGAUUGCUGACCUGCUCUCACCUAUCAUGACAGUCAGUUUUCGGCUUUCUCUACUGAUGUACUUAGCCAGACAAACCAGAAAUACAAUCACAGUAGUUCUCCCUUUACCACCUUAGCCGAACUUGCGGAACGUAAGGUGGCAAACACAGGAGCAGGGAAACCCAACUAUAGACCAAAGACAUGAUACGGAGCUGAUGCAUAUAAUGCCAUAUCCGGGACGCCGAAGAGUUCCCUAUAGGUGUUUGGACUUAAGAAUUUUGCGGGGCCGAAUACAGCCCUGUAAUGAAGACCAUGUCGAACCACGUAUGUCGGUCGAACAUAAGGGGGAGCGCAGAUGACAAGGAAAAAACCAUAACUCCACCAAGAGGGUGAUAAUCAUAUACGCCCUUUAUAUCUUUAUUGAUACAUUGAUGGAAAGUGGUAUCGUUCAAUAUUAAGGCCAUAUUACAUGCCCAAAGAAAAAAAAAGAUUUUACAUAAGGGAAAGUCUAACACAGAGCCUAAAAAUCAUAGUUUGGAAAAGAAACUCCAAUGAUGCCCUGCCACAUGUCUGCGCCUUUUCUCCUUAGUAGUAAGUCCUUUGAGAGGAAUAUUUGAUGGUUGGGACAUGCUAGCCUUAAAAGGAUCUCCUGCGACAACCAUCUUGCAAGUAGGGCUCUUGUUGAACCUGUGUUAAAUGGAAAAAAGAUAUAUGCGGUACAACUAUGGUCAAGCCAUGAAAUGCACCUCUUCCGUAGUGUGCCUCCGGCAUCGCCCAAGGUAUUUUUAGUGCGUAAUUACGUAUGCACGGUAGAUAAGCCGCAACCUGGUGGGGCGACCGGCGGAGGCCGAACUGCUAAUCGGUGUCUGGAUCCGUUGAUUUAUCGCUAUUAUGCGCGGACCGGACUCGUUUGGAUACAUCAUUGGCUUUAUUGGCCGGUGACUUGUUCGGCUUGAUAAGGCCUCCAUAUACUUCGGCUGCAAGGGCCAUAGUGUGCUCUUCAGUACGGAGUGAGCGCUCCAUGUUACCAUUGAUUGUAAUAACGCCACGAGGUCCUGGCAUUUUGAGCUUCAAGUAAGCGUAAUGCGGGACUACAUUUAAGCAGGCGAAAGCAGUUCGUCCGAGUAGUGCAUGGUAGCCACUGCGGAAAGGGACGAUGUCGAAGAUUAACUCUUUGCUGUGAAAGUUAUCUGGGGAGCCGAAUACUACCUCGAGUGUAAUUGACCCCGUACAACGGGCCUCCACUCCUAGUAUCACAACUUUAAAGGUAGUGUUACUAGGCUUGAUUCGUGAUGGGUCAAUCCCCAUCUUACGGACAAUAUCUUGAUAAAUCAAGUUGAGACUGCUUCCUCCGUCCAUAAGGACUCUACUAAGGUGGUAUCCGUCAAUAAUUGGGUCAAGAACCAGGGCAUCCGAACCCCCGUGGCGGAUACUGGUUGGGUGGUCCCUGCGAUCAAAGGUGAUCGGACAGGCUAACCAGGGGUUAAACUUGGGAGCGACAGGCUCUAUAGCGUAGACGUCCCGAAGUGCGCGCUUGCGCUCCCUUUUGGGAAUGUGAGUGACAUAGAUCAUAUUCACUAUCUUCACCUUGGGGGGAAACUACUUCUGACCCCCGGUGUUUGGCUGACGGGGCUCGUCAUCGUCUUCACUUGGAGGCCCUUUUCCCUUGUGUUCGGUAUUUAUCUUACCAGCCUGUUUGAAAACCCAACAAUUCAUGUUGGUGUGGUUCGCAGGCUUAUCGGGUGUGCCAUGAAUCUGACAGGGCCUCUCAAGGAUUUUAUCUAAGAUGGAUGGCCCGUCUUUAUUGCCUUUGAAAGGUUUCUUCCGCUGAUCGGACUUAGGGCCGCUGAAUCUGGCACUGACUGUUGUAUCAUAUGCGUCAUCGUUGUUGUUGUUCCGACAUUUGUUUUUAUUACGGUGAGGCUUGCCAUUACCGUCCCGCACCUCAGAGGUGUCGGGGUCACCUGAGUUGUUGCUUCUACGAGCCAACUAGUUGUCUUCGUCCGCACAGAAGUGGGUCAUAAGUGUCAUUAAGGCUGCCAUGGUCUUCGGCUUCUCCUGCCCAAUGUGUCGGGCGAGCCACUCAUCAUGGACGGUGUGCUUAAAGGCUGCUAAGGCUUCGGCGUCCGGACAAUCUAUGAUCUGGUUCUUUUUAGUUAAGAACCGAUUCCAAAGCUUGCGAUCUGACUCACCUGGCUGCUGAAUUAUGUGACUCAAGUCGUCAGCAUCCGGUAGCCAGACAUAAGUGUCCUGAAAGUUAGCCCUAAAAGCAUCUUCCAAGUCUUCCCAGGUUCCAAUAGAGUUUUCUGGGAGGCUGCUAGCCAGUGUCGUGCUGGUCCUUUAAACUUUAUAGGAAGAUAUUUAAUGGCAUGGAGGUCAUCUCCUCGAGCCAUAUGAAUGUGGAGAAGAAAAUCUUCAAUCCAGGCGGCCGGAUCCGUCGUUCCAUCAUACUAUUCGAUGUUUACGGGUUUAAACCCUUCCGGAAAUUGGUGUUCCAUGACCUCAUCGGUAAAGCAUAGGGGGUGUGCGGCCCCUCUAUUUCGUGCAAUGUCGCGGCGGAGAUCGGCUGACAUCUGAGUCUGGUUCUGAUCCCGAACAUAUUAACGGUCGUCGCGCCGGGCUUCAUAGCCGUAGUCUCGCGCCGGGGCACGGCCCCUUGAUCUGUAGAUUGAUCUGGUUUGACCAGCUUUAUUGGCUAGGUCAUGUUGCAAGUCGUAUGUAUAUCCCGCAGCUGCCAUCUCCCUACCACUUCGACGAGGGGGUGCAGGUUGGUGUUUGGCUUGACAUGUCGUUUUGUCCCAUCCAAGUGGUGGUCGGUCUGGUUGAUCUACCUUAUUGUAUUUCGACUGCAUUGGCUCGAGGACUUCUUCGUUGAAUUGAGGCAGCAGCUUGCGCCUAGGAUAACUUUUGACAGGUCACUCUUGCGCGUAUUCCUCGGCGGCCAGGACCUUAGUCCACCUUUCAUUCAGCGUGUCUUGCUCGGCUUUGAGCUGAUGUUGCUUCUUCUUAGGCCCCGAGCUAUAGCGAUGAGCUGUCGCUUAAAGCAUUCUUCGUCGAGGGGUUCCUCUAGGACAGUGAAGUCUUUGUCAUCGAGGCUAACUUCCUCUUCGGAUUCUGGCAUGUAGUUGUUGUCCUCCGCAUCUUUGUCAUCAGCGUGUUCGGGAGUAUAUACACCCUCUUCCUGCUCGUCCUGUUCGGAUGUGGGCUCGAUAGGGUAUUCGGGAUCUUCGGCACCAUCUGGAGUCUCGUUGUCUCCGGUACCGGUAUUACUAUCCUUCGCCCGACGCGAUCGUGAGUGGCGCUGCUGAUGUUGGUGCUUUGGGGUUUAUCGACGGGUUUGUCCUCAUGUGGGCUUGGGUUAUCCUCAUCAUUCUUCGAAGUGUCCACCAUGUACACAUCGUAGGUUGAGGUGGCCAUCCAACGCCCCAUGACGGGUGGGACUUGGCUUGGUUCGGUGUCGGCAUCAUCGUCCAUGUCAUCGAUGUCUUCGGACGCAUAGUCCAACAUGUCGGUUAAAUCCUCGACGGUGGCUAUCAAGUGGGUGGUGGGUGGGAUAUAAAAUUCCCCGCUCUCAGCCCCCAGUCCAAGCUGGGUACAAUUCAGAGGUAAAGCCUCCAUGAUGGCGAGAGACUGCAUCAAUCCCAAUACUCCGUCUAAGAGCGGAAGUGGGACUGGGGACUGCAGAUCUGCUGGGCUAAGUUCGGCAUGGGCGCCUAAUCGGGCCCGCUGAGUGUAGACCUCGGCAUUUCAGGAUGGUUGCCCGGAGCCAAGUCUAAGAUUGCAUCUGGGUCUUCGGUCAGGAGUUCUGUAAGGGGAAUAAGUCUGGCGGGGCUCAAGCUCCCAUCUUCGGAUGAUGAGACCUGCCCCGGAUCUAAGGCCGAGGUGGGUGUUGGUGUUGACCCCUGGGCGACAUCUGGCAGGGGAACUGAAGAGUCUUCUUGGCGGGGACACAGAGUGGCGGACGAGGCCACAAACCCGUUGAAGACUAGGUCUCCUCGGAUGUCAGCAACAUAAUUCAGGUUUCCAAACCUGUUCUGGUAGCCGGAGGCAUAACUAUCGACAUGCUCGAGGCGGCUGAUCGAGUUGGCACGAAGCACAAAGCCGCCGAACACAAAAACUGUCCGAGGAGAAAGGUCUCCCUGGAUGCAGCGUCAUCAUUGACAAAGAGAUGAGCCAUCGAUCCUUCAGCCGACGAUACAGCGGAGCUCUCAAUGAAAGCACCAAUGUCGGUGUCAAAACCGGCAGGUCUCGGGUAGGGGGGGGCCAAGAUGUAUGUCUAAGGAUUAAUGGUGACUAUGGACAAAGUACACAGUGAUUUACCCAGGUUUGGUCCCUCUUAAUGGAAGUAAAACCCUACUCCUGCUUGAUUAUAUUCGAGGGUAUAUGGGUUACAAGACUUGAUCUACCUCGAGAUCGAUUCGGCUAUCCCUAGAUAACUAGCCUAGCAAUGUUGUGAUCCUGCAUCCGGUCUACCCUCGGGUUUAUAUACACACCGGAGGGGCUUAGGGUUGUACAAGGUCGGUUUUACAGAAAGGAGUACGAUAUCUGGACACCUAUACUUGUCAUCCAUGCAUAUGGGAGUCCCCACUGGACACGAGAGAUAAUCUUUUGUCUUGUAUAUUGACGGCCCAUCAGUCCGACCCACAUCAAUAGACCGGAUGCUCGAGGACCCCCUAGUCCAGGACUCCCAUAGCGCCGGAGUGCCAUCGGGAGAGGAAUCAUCGCCGUGGUGAUCUUCUUCAUCAACAUCACCCUCAUCAUCACCAUCCCUAUCUCUUUUACGCGGUCCACUCUCCCGCACCCUGCUGUAAUCCCUACUUGAACAUGGUGCUUUAUGCCACAUAUUAUGAUCCAAUGAUGUGUUGCCAACCUAUGAUGUUUUGAGUAGAUAUCCUUUGUCUUUGGGUUGAUUGAUGAUCUAGAUUGGUAUGAGUUGUAUGUUUUAUUUUGGUGCUGUCCUAUUGUGUCCUCCGUGUCGAGCAAACAUGAGGGAUUCCCGUUGUAAGGUGUUGCAAUACGUUCAUGAUUUGCUUAUAGUGGGUUAGUUGAGUGACAGAAGCAUAGACUCGAGUAAGGGGGUUGUUGCGUAUGGGAUAAAAGGGACUUGAUAUGUUAAUGCUAUGGUUGGGUUUUACCUUAAUGAUCUUUAGUAGUUGUGGAUGCUUGCUAGAGUUCCAAUCAUAAGUGCAUAUGAUCCAAGAAGAGAAAGUAUGUUAGCUUACGUCUCUCCCUCAUAUGAAAUUGCAAUGAUGAUUACCAAUCUUGUUAACAAUUGCCUAGGACAAUUCCGCACACUGACCCAUCAUUAUUCCACACUCGCUAUUUAUAAUAUUUAGUAAUACAAUCUAACUUUAUGAUAACAACACCUACUUUUAUAUUUUAGCUCUCCGAUACCAUGCAAAGUUACCCUCUUCAUACCCACAACAUAGUUUUAUUUCUCGUUUCUAGUUGGAAGCAAAUGUUCGGUGUACGUAGAGUCGUAUCAUUGGCAGAUAGGACUUGAGAGAAUAUUGAUCUUACCUUUAGAUCCUUGUGGGUUCGACAUUCCAUGCUUAUCACUUCCACCUUUGGAAAUUUCUACGACAAUUCCCUGCACUUGGGGAUUAUCAAGCUAUUUUCUGGCGCCGUUGCCGGGGAGCAAUAGCGCGGGGUUGAUAUUCUCGUGUAUGCUUGUUUGCUUUAUUCACAAAGUAUUUUUUGUUUUCUCUUUUUGUUUUGCUUAGUUAUGGGUGAAACAUACAAAAAAGUAAAAGAAUGAAAAUACAAAAAGAUUCACUUGCCUCAUAUGCCUAAAAAGUUUUUCAAAAAGAGAAGUGAUUGGAAAGUUAUGCGUUGGAGAAGUGAGGGUCGACCUUGAACACUUGUGUUCAUGCUCAUGGAAACAAUGUAAAAAAAUUCAUGGAAGUUUCUCUGAAAAUAAUUAUCCCCUUGUAUAUAUCCAUUGUAUUAUAAAAAUAAUGUGCCAAGCUUUGGUUUUAGGAUGAUUAGAGUGAUUGUUUACUAUGUGUAGUGCAAAAACAGAAACUUUGGCUGUAGCGCAUGGAUUUACAUUUUUUUACUGGAAAUUCAAACGGGUCUGAAACUUUUUGCACGGUACUUCUAUACAAUUUGUUUAAAUUUUCAUAUUUGUUUUAUAAUUUUUGGAGUUACAGAAGUAUACAAAAAUUUUGUUAAGUUUUGUGUGGAUGAAGUGUUCUAAGAACGAGGAGUUACCGAUGUGAGAAGAAUAAAGAGAGGCAAGAGUUCAAGCUUGGGGAUGCCCAAGCCACCCCAAGCAAAUAUUUCAAGGAUACUCAAGCAUCUAAGUUUGGGGAUGCCCCGGUUGGCAUCCCAUCUUUCUUCUUCAACAAUUAUCGGUAUACCUCGGUUUUUGUUUUGUUCACAUGAUUUGUGUCCUUUGUGUUUUUAUUUUUCUUUAAGAACCAUGCUAGUAUGAGAUAGCCCUUCAUUGAUUUAUAGAAUGCUUCAUGAGCUUCCCUUAUAUCUCUUGAGUAUGAUCUUAUAGAAUGCUCUUUGUGCUUCACUUAAAUCUUUUGAGUAUGGUUUUAUAGAAUGCUUUGUGUGCUUCACUUAUAUAUUUUGAGCUUGGAUAUUGGUUAGUCUAUAUUACUUGUAGAAUGCUCCAUGAACUUCACUUAUAUCUUUUGGAGUAUGAAUAAUACUAUCAUCGAAAGUGGGUUUGGAAGAGUGUCAACUUUAGGGAGUAAUGAUCCCACUAUUUUGGAGGGUGUUGAAUCUUAGUAUGAUAUUUAUGAAAGUGGAUUUGGAGAGGUCUUGACUUUAGUUAGUAAUGAUUCCACUAUUUCGGAAGAGGUUCCAAUUGAUUAUGAGAACAAAGUUGCUAUCUAUGAUGAUUAUUGUGGUGACAUGUAUGCUAUAAGGAAUAUGUUAACCAUGAAACUUGUCAUCAUGCUUUUAAUUUGAAUUGGAUUAUGCCUCAUAUGACAGUGAUUUUGUUGAGUUUGCUCCCACUAUUCCGAAUGAGAAUAAUUUUGCUUAUGUGGAUAGUAGUAAAAUUUCUAUGCUUGUAGAUCAUGAAAAGAAUGCUUUAUGUGAUGGUUAUAUUGUUGAAUUCAUUCAUGAUGCUACUGAAAAUUAUUAUGAGGGAGGAAUAUAUGCUUGUAGGAGUUGCAACAAUAUCAAAUUUCCUCUCUAUGUGCUUAAAGUUUUGAAGUUAUAAUUGUUUUGCCUUCCUAUGCUAGUUGAUUCUUUUUUCCAUAAAUUGUGUUCUCACAAAAUCCCUAGGAAUAGGAAGUGGGUUAGACUUAAAUAUGCUAGUCAUAUUCUUCAUGAUGCUCUCUUUAUGUUUCAAUUCUUAUCUUUUAUAUGAGCAUCAUUGAAAUCAUCAUGCCUAGCUAAAAGGCAUUAAAGAAAAGCGCCUGUUGGGAGACAACCCAAUAUUUACCCUUACUGUUUUUGUGUGUUCACAUGAUUAAGAUAUUGUAGUAAUCAUGUUUUAUAGUUUUUGUUUCAAUAAAGUGCCAAGUAAGACCUUUGGGAUAGCUUAUGGUGAUAGUUGUGUUGAUCCUGCUGAAAAUCAGAAACUUUUGCACCCAGUAAAUUAGUUUUUAUAAUUCACAGAAACGUGCUUUUGAUCUAAUUAUUUUUGCAAUGGAUUGUUACACCAAUUUAUCAGGUUUUCCUAAUUUGGAUGGAUUUUUGGAGUGGAAGCAGUAUGGUUGUUGUUCACAUCAUUACAAACUGUUCUGUUUCUGGCAGAUUCUGUUUUCAAUGCAUAUUUGCUUGUUUUCUAGUUUCUAUGGCUUAUAUUGCUCAAUAUAAAUUGUAGAAAUGAUAUGGUACAGUAGGCAUUGUGUGAGAACAAUUAUGAAUCUUGUCUUUGACAGUACCAAAGUGAAUGAUUUACUCUUUAUCAUACUAACCCAUCUCACAAAGUUCUGUUAAGUUUUGUGUGAUUGAAGUUUUCAAGUUUUGGGUGAGAUAUCGAUAUGAGGAGAAUAAGGAGUGGAAAGACCCUAAUAUUGGGGAUGCCCAAGGCACCCCAAGUUAAUAUCAAGGAAGACUCAAGCGCCUAAGCUUGGGGAUGCCCCGGAAGGCAUCCCCUCUUUCGUCUUCAAAACCAUCGGUAUACCUUACUCGGAUCUAUAUUUUUAUUCGUCACAUGGUAUGUGUUUUGCUUGUAGUGUAUUUUCAUUUUACUUGUUGUAUGAAUAAACCUUUGGAUCUGAAAUCUUUAAUAUUAAAUCAUUGGAUCUGAAAUAUUGAAUAGGAGAGAGUCCUCCCAUGGCUAGUUAUUUAUUUGACUACUCAUUGUCUUCACUUAUAUUUUUUUGGAGUAGUUUCUCAUUUACUCAUGUGCUUCACGUAUAUCCUAUGAGUAAAUGGUUGAAUGAGUUGAAUAUCAUAAAUCUGAAUUUAUAUAUGUUUCAUAUGCUUAUACUAUGGGGAGUAAUGACUUCACACAUAAUAAGUAUAGGUGGUAAAUUUAUUGAAAGUUAGCAAAUGCAGAAUUGGUCACUUGAACAAUUCAUGAAAGAAUAUUGAAGGAAGAGAGAUUUCACAUAUAAAUAUACUAUCUUGGACAUCUUCUGUAAUAUUGAGCACUCAUUAAAAUAUGACAUGCUAAAAAGUUGAUGUUGGACAAGGAAGACAACUUAAUGGAUUAUGUUUUCCUAUAUCCGAAUAGACGUUAUAUUGUCUUGGAUCAUCCAACAUGUGGAGCCUGCCUUUCCCUCUCAUGCUAGCCAAAUUCUUUGCACCAAGUAGAGAUACUACAUGUGCUUCCAAACACCCCUUAAACCAAGUUUUUCCAUGAGAGUCCACCAUACCUACCUAUGGAUUGAGUAAGAUCCUUCAAGUAAGUUGUCGUCGGUGCAAGCAAUAAAAAUUGCUCCUUAAAUAUGUAUGACCUGUUAGUGCGAAGAAAAUAAGAUUUAUACGAACUUACGAUAUGGAAGAAAUAAAAGCGACGGACUGCAUAAUAAAGGUCCUUAUCACAAGCGGCAAUAUAAAGUGACAUUCUUUUGCAUUAAGAUUUUGUGCAUCAAACCAUAAACGCGCAUGACAACCUCUGCUUCCCUCUGCGAAGGGCCUAUCUUUUACUUUUAUCUUCUACCCUUAUACAAGAGUCUUGGUGAUCAUCACCUUUCCUUUUUAGACUUUUUCCUUUGGUAAGCACUUUGUGUUGGAGUGAUCCGGAUAUAUAUAUAUAUCCACUUGGAUGUAGGUUUUCAUAAAGUAUUAUUGUCGACAUUACCCUUGAGGUAAAAGGUUGGGAGGCGAAACUAUAAGCCCCUGUCUUUCUCUGUGUCCGAUUAAAACUUUGAACCCAUAAAUAUCCCAUGAGUGUUAGCAAUUGUGAAAGAGUAAAUGAUAGUUGAGUAUGUGGAGUUUGCUGAAUCAAAGCUCUUACAUAGACCCUUCCUGAAAAUAAGAUGAAUUGCAAUCGUUUGAUGACUGAGAACAUAGUUUGUUAGUUUUCAAGAAAGAUUAUGAUCUAUACUUUAACAUGCGAAUAGCUUGUUACUUGAUCAUGAGAAGUUUUAUGAGUUGAGCUACUGUUAUGAUAUAUAAUGAUGCUAGAAAAAGUGAUUGAAACUAUCAUUGAUCAAACUUAUGCACUUGCUAGCAUUCACACUUCAUAAAUUAUUUCUUUUAUCAUUUACCUACUCGAGGACGAGCAAGAAUUAAGCUUGGGCAUGCUGAUACGUCUCCAACGUAUCUAUAAUUUAUGAAGUAUUCAUGCCAUGUUUAUAAUAUUUUUACAUGAUUUUGGUAUGAUUUGAUUAGAACUAACCCGUACUGACGUUGUUUUCAGCAGAACUACCGUGGUGUUGUUUUUGUGCAGAAAUAAAAGUUCUCGAAAUGCGCUGAAAAUCAACGGAGAAUAUUUUUGGAAAAUAUAAAAAAUACUAAAACAAAAAGCUACCAGAGGGGAGUCCCGAGGCCACCAUGAGGGUGAAGGGCGCGGCCACCCCCCGAGGGCGCGCCUCCUGCCUAGUGGACUCCCCGUGGGCCCCCUUGAUGUGAAAUUGACGCUGACCCUUCCUAUAGAUCCUAAAACCCCUAGAGCAGAAGAGAGAUCGGAAGUUCCGCCGCCGCAAGCCUCUGUAGCCACGAGAAAUAAAUCUAGGCCCUCUCUGGCACCCUGUCAGAGGGGGCCAUCAUCACCCGAGGCCAUGGGGAAGGAUCUCAGAGGGGCCAUCAUCACCAUGAAGGCCAAGGACCAGAGGGAGAACAUCUCCCCAUCCAGGGGGAGGCCAUAGAGGAGGAAGCACAAGGGGUGGAACCUCUCCUCCUCUCUCUCGGUGGCGCCGGAGUGCCAUCAAGAGGGGAAUCAUCGCUGCGGUGAUCGUCUUCAUCAACAUCACCCUCAUCAUCACCAUCCUCAUCUCUUUUACACGGUCCACUCUCCCACACCCUGCUGUAAUCCCUACUUGAACAUGGUGCUUUAUGUCACAUAUUAUGAUCCAAUGACGUGUUGCCAUCCUAUGAUGUUUUGAGUAGAUAUCCUUUGUCUUUGGGUUGAUUGAUGAUCUAGAUUGGUAUGAGUUGUAUGUUUUAUUUUGGUGUUGUCCUAUUGCACCCUCCAUGUCGCGCAGGCGUGAGGGAUUCCCGCUAUAUGGUGCUGCAAUACGUUCAUGAUUCGCUUAUAGUGGGUUGCUUGAGUGACAAAAGCAUAAACUCGAGUAAGGGGGUUGUUGCAUAUGGGAUAAAGGGGAGUUGAUAUGUUAAUGCUAUGGUUGGGUUUUACCUUAAUGAUCUUUAGUAGUUGCAGAUGCUUGCUAGAGUUCCAAUCAUAAGUGCAUAUGAUCCAAGAAGAGAAAGUAUGUUAGCUUAUGCCUCUCCCUCAUAUGAAAUCGACCGACAUGAGCAUACCUAAGAACAUCCUGAUGCUCCAAUUGUGAAUACCUUUUCUAUGUCCUUGGCAUUUGGUUCUUUUAGGAACUCUGAUCCAAACGCCUUCACCGCAUCACAGGAAAAUGUCACAUUUGCAUCAAUGCAUGUUCUCUUUUCGAUCUGGACAAUCUCAUCAAUGGCAUCUUUGGUUGUACCAUAUGGAAGCAUCCUCCAAGCAGUCAUGAAAUUAUGCAUAGGAGAGCAUAAUAUCCUACAUUUUAUCGAACCCUUGAAGUUGAGAACAUGCUCCUCUUUCUUAUCCAUUUCUUCCUAAAUACUCAUCAUCACCAUCAUGUCAGCAUCUUCGUCGUCAUCGACAUCUGAUCCAAUGAAUCAAUGAGCUCCUUGAACAUGAAUUCAUCGAGCUCAUUGUAAUGAAACUCUUCAUUUGAUGAAUCCAUCAUUUGCCUAAAAAAUGGUCAAAAUAAUCUAAAAACUCGCCCCGACAUUCUGUCAAUCACAUGGCAGGCAAGGUGUAUGUUUGGCGGACUAGAAAGUACCAGGGCUUAGUCCAAGCAGCGACUAGAUCCAGGGCGACAAAGGAUGUCCUGGAAGGAUGGAGGCAAUGGUGGUCACACCGUGGGUUGGGAACGUUUGCAGAGCUACAUGGAGAUGCAGUCGGGCGAGUGUUUGGGACAAUUAAGAGGCAUUUGAAGUGGGUCCGGCCUGCUGGAUCUGACGUGGCGCGUGUGUCCAACGCAUCGAGGUGGCCUCAAAUCCGCACUGACAUAUGGUAUGGGUUUAGGGGUGCCGUACAGCCAGGAAAAUGAGCUACAUUUGUGGGUUCCUGUUGGGUGGUUGUUUCUGGUCCAACUGGUGUCUGGGUUGUCCGCCUAGAUGUUUAGGGGGGAAAGUGGGGGAUCCGAUUGGAGAUGCUCUUACAUGUUAGUCUUUACUUGGAGAGAUAGAAUGGAAUAGAUUUGAUCCAUGUCUUGUCUUAUGUAAACAUGAUGAGAUUACCUCUUAUACACAUACAUACAAUUGGAACAAUUGUCCUUCUGCCCAAGUCUUGUGAUGCUACAAGAGUGAAGGAUUAUCGGCCAACCAGCCUUAUGCAUUCUAUCGCAAAAGAUUGUUUGUAAGUUGUUGUCCCUUGCUCGUAGAUGGCCUUUGUAGAAAAAUUAACUGAUCCAGGAAAAUUUCCAACAUGUCAAUAAUGUUAUGCAAAAGGUGCACAAAAACAAGGACCCGGCUUUGUUGCUGAAAUUGGACAAAUCUGCAAAGGAGAACCUCAACACGGACAACCCGACAUGGAGACAUACCAUCCUCCAUGUGUCUCCCAAUGAUUCAAAGUAGCACCAUGAAAUGAGGACAAAAUGGAAAUGACAUGUUUCAUGUCAUCGACGACACCCUCGUGUCACCAUCAAGGUUGGGACAAAAACCUAAUCUAAAAACCUAACCCUACCACCACUGGUCGAAAAGGGGUCAUUGUCCCCUCCUAUCGUCGAAGUAGAGAUUUGAGGGGAGGGGGUCUAUUAUCUCGCCGAGGAGGAGGUAGACCGCCGCCGCCAUCGUAGCUCCGGAGGUUUCGUGGGAGGGUGGAAAAUGUUCCAGGUCCUAAAGGGAAAAGAACUACUACCUCCUUUACUGUUUAUAAGGCUUUCGUGUAUCUCUAGGUUGGUAGAUAGACCAACAUAAUAUAAGUUAUAUAUCACAAAAAAUGUAUCAUUAGAAACUACAAACCGCCUAUUGUCUAACGGUACAAAUUUUAGACUAUACAACUCAAUAUUCUGUUGGUCAAAUUAUAGAUCUACGGGUACGCGCAAGCCUUAUAAACCGAAAGGAGGUGGUAGGUAUGUUAUAGAGAUGCUUAAUACUCCCUCCUAUUCACAUUAAUUACCACUGAAUUAGUGCAGCUUUGCACUAAAUCAGCGACAGUUAAUAUGGAUCGAGGGAGUAAAUCUUUACGUGUGUCUAGGCUCGCAGCCAAUGCCAUUUGUUGAGAACAAAUAAAUGAGGGCGAUGGCAGCAAAGUGUGCGCCCUGUUGAGCUAUGUGGCUAAACUUUGGCAAAUUCCUAUAUAUUAACUCGUUUUAGCUCCUUGGUCAUUAGAAGUGGCGGAGCGUGAAUGAAAUUCAAGGAGGGACAAAAGAGCUAGAGAGAUCAGAGAGGGUGGGAGAUUAGCAGGGAGUUUAUGCUUAACAAGAGCUCAUCUUUGCAAUAUUUCUCUUGCAAGGGGGGGCUUUGGUCCCGCUGAUGCUCCGCCAAUGGUUGUUAGCAAGAUUUUCAUGAGAGAAAAAUAAAGCUAUCUUAAAGUGGUAAACUUUAGAGAGAGCAAAAUUACCUCAGAUCGUUGGUUGUCAUUGACAUGUUUCCUUGUUAUUAUUUUGGGAGAAACAAAGCCUCUAGCCUCUGCAUCAUUACGAUGCACAAUGUCUAGUUUAUUAAAUCAAGGAAGAAUGCCACAAUGGUGCCGGUGUCAUACAUGAAAGUGGCGUCAAUUCACUCUCUCUGAAAGAGCUCCUUCUUAGGGCAUGAGUUAUGGACCCAGCUGAAUUGUGUGGUCUCAAGUUGUCCACAUAGAGAAAAUGGAAUGAAUCUAUUGGUUUGUACCACAAUCACCCCAAGGAGAGGUACUCUCUAUGAUGUCAUCUUCUUACUAUUUUUCUCUUUCCCAUGUUAUCGGACACGUUCAACCUUUCUCUCUUCCCUUGGUUGUAGCCCAUCCUAUGAUGUCGUCACUUGGGCCAUGUCAUCGUUGUACCAAAAGAUUUGAGAUUUGGUAAAAGGAAUUAUUGAAGAAAAAAGGCGCAAAAGAUUUGUAUCUUGAUGCAUUUGAUAGAAACAAAGUUUGGUGCUAGCAGUUACUACAACUCAACACUCCUACCAGCUAGGUGCCGCCAGCCGCAAGACCCAACACUUGCCUUACCAUGUAGAGUAGACUAGCAAUGUUUCGUCACAAGCGAAUUUGGCAAAACACGAGCAAUCCCUGCUCCAGAGAAUUGACUAAUAGCACCUUACAAUUUCUCAAAAAGAAAAGAGAAACAACCUAUGAGUUGGUUGCACUGUAUAUCCCAGUGAGAAACAAGAUUUUUAGGAAAAGAAUAUUAUCUCUAAUGUACAAUUCUCAAAGCGAUGGUACUGUUAUUAGGACGGGGAAAAAACGCGGAGCCUCAGAUAGUCGUUCUACGUAUUAGAGGCAUUUGUUAAUUUUGUAUGUACCAUAUCAACUCUGAUGGUUGCUCCAAAGGAUUGAUGUACGUUCAGAAACAGACCACUGAAAACAAUAGAAAAGCUCACAGUUCAUUCCGCAGUCAAGCCAAACCAAAACAUGGACGAUGUGCUUACCUGAGAGGAAGUAUUACAACGAUCCCCUUAUAGACAUACUAUCUAAAAUAAAAUGAGAAGCAACGAGAUUCAAAUACUUGAACAAAUGAAAGACUGAUUCAGUAUAGCUAUAGCAUCUAAACUGGGAAGCAACGAGUGUCAAAUGCUUGAACAAAUACAAGACUUAUUCAGUACAGCGACGCGAUAUAAACAGAUCAAAUCAGUCAGUUUUAGAAAAGCAAAAUACAAUUCAACAGUGAAGCUUUUCGUCAAGAUUCAGAAUCGAACUGAUUGCAUUGAACAGAACAAAGCUAUUACAGAGCCUACUGAACCCCAAGACAGAACACAACAACACACGCAAACCAGUAAGUCUCAUCUACCACAGCACACAUCACAGAGAGCAAACGAGGAAGUUGCACCGCUGCUGGCACCACUACAGAUCUAGCCUCCGAAGCCGUAGAGGGUGCGGCCCUGGCGCUUGAGCGCGUAGACGACGUCCAUGGCGGUGACGGUCUUGCGGCGGGCGUGCUCGGUGUAGGUGACGGCGUCACGGAUGACGUUCUCGAGGAAGAUCUUGAGGACGCCGCGGGUCUCCUCGUAGAUGAGGCCGGAGAUGCGCUUCACGCCGCCCCUCCUCGCCAGCCUGCGGAUCGCCGGCUUGGUGAUGCCCUGGAUGUUGUCCCGGAGGACCUUCCGGUGGCGCUUGGCCCCGCCCUUUCCCAGCCCCUUGCCGCCCUUGCCGCGCCCGGACAUCGUCGCUCGAUUUGGGAGAAGAAGGGACUCGGGAGGUGGAUGUUGAAGCUUGCGGUGGAUUUGGGAAUCGGAGGUGACGGGUUUAUAUAGGGAGGAGUUGGGAGGGAAGCCCGAAAUUUUCGGGAGUUGGAAGCGGGAGGUGUUUGCUCUCUGCUGGGUCGAUCCGUGGGAUGUUGGAGUUCGGCCGUUGGAUUGCGAUCAGAAGGUGUGAUGCGGUGGGAGGCUGGUGGUGCGGAUCGGUGACCUGGCGGAGAUGUGGGCAUUUGCUUGUGCUACGUUGGAGCUUUGGAGGUCGUUCUGCCGUUCCACUCCGCGUUUAAAGAUAAGAACAUUCGAUUCUCAAAAAAGAUAAGAGCAUCUUCAGCCGCGUCCCCAGCACGCCUCCCGGGUGAUUUUUGCGUCGGCAUCGAAAAAACGGCUCGGUCGCAUUUCCAGGAGCCCUUUUUCGUCGGCUUGGACCGAAAUUAGCACCGGCGGAUCCAGGCCGAACCCGGCGCGCCCGAGGGCGCCCGAGGGCGCCGGGCCGAGUGGUUUUUGCGCGAAAGAGCCGCGGGUCCGCCGAGUCAGCGACGCGUGCCUCGUCGUCGUCGGAAUGCCUCGGUUUCCCGCGUGGAAUCAAUGACAAGGUUGUCGUCGGUCUGCCUUGCCAUUGAUUCCUCAUCACGGGCGACAUCGCGACGCCUCCCAUCCUGCCACGUGUACACACGGCGCGGGCUAUAUAAACCGGUGGCUUCCUUCGCCUCUGGACACACCCACCAACAGCCGACCGCAGUCGAGCUCUGCCUCUCUCCCCGUGCGCAGCCGCCCGCCAACGCUUCUUCCCUCCCCUCUCCCUCUCUACCAAGCCCAAUGGCCGCGUGAUUCCCCGGCGACACGGCGGCGGCCAACGGCUUCGGCCGCCGCUCGCUCCACGAGUGGGAGGCCUAGCUGCUCUUCGAGGUGAACAUCCCGGCGCCACCAGACAUGCGCGUCGGGCCGACGGGGUGGAGGCUCAGCAACGGGGGCGUCCCCAUUCCCCCGGUGCCCGGCGUCGAGGUGCGCCCCGCCUUCUUCGCCGCCGAGGUCAACCGCGUGCGAGCCUCCCUAACAGAGGAGCAGCUCGCCCUCCCCCAGUACGCCGCCGACAACCAUGCUGUGACGCCCCCGAUUCAAUCAUACACUAAUCAUACACGCAAAUGUGUACGAUCAAGAUCAGGGACUCACGGGAAGAUAUCACAACACAACUCUAGACACAAAUCAAAAUAAUACAAGCUUUAUAUUACAAGCCAGGGGCCUCGAGGGCCCGAAUACAAGCUCGAUACACAAGAGUCAACGAAAGCAACAAUAUCUGAGUAUAGACAUAAGUUAAACAAGGAUGUCUUAAAUAGGCUAGCACAAAAGCAACAACGAUCGAAGAGGCAAGACCUCCUGCCUGGGAUCUCCUAACUACUCCUGGUCGUCGGCGAUCUUCACGUAGUAGCAUCCAUCGGCGGUGGCAUCUGGCUUCAGGGAUCCACCAUCUCGUUGCAUCAACCGGGAAGAAGAAAGAAGGGGGAAAUGGGGUAGCAAAGCAACCGUGAGUACUCAUCCAAAGUACUCGCAAGCAUCAGAUCUAUACUAAGUAUGCAUUGGUAUCAAAUGGAAGGGUUGUAUCUGUUGACUGAACUGCAGAAUGCCAGAAUAGAGGGGAAGGCCUAGCCUAACGAAGACUAGCAUCUUCAAGCAGCUCCGAACAUCUUGCGGCAUGUAGAAGAGUAAAGAAUAGCACCUUAUAAUUUAACAAACAUGUUGUAGAACCAACGCCCAGAGAUCCUUCCUCGACUCCCUACGAGAAAGUAAUCCCGGAGCCACAUAUCCAUCACAUGUCUCAAGUAUCCAUUUCUAGUUAUAUAAGAUCAGGAUAUAAGUCUGAACGUCCAUUACCGUGGACACGGUAUUCGAAUAUAUAUCUUCCCUGCAGGGGUGCACCACGUUACCCAACACGCUCGAUCACUCUGGUCGGACACACCUUUCUGGGGUCAAUGCUCGGCCUCGGAAGAUCAACACGUCGCAGCCCUACCUAGGCUCAGCAGAGAGGUCCCCGCCGGUCUACCUCCUAAGCACUCCGGGGUCUGGGCCCAUCGCCCGUUGCACUCCGGGUCGUUGCGAGCAGGGCGGACCAGGCUCCACCACUACAGGAUGGUGUCGGCCCAGCCGUGCUGCACUGCUGAACUGGACGUCUGACAAAGCUUCGGCUGAUACCACGACGUCGAGGCCCAUAUCUAUUCUCAUGUGGUGGUUAGUGCGUAAAGGCCAGAGGCCAACUUAGAACAAAUACCCAACCUGUUAGUGCAUUGGGGGCUCGCGGAGACGAGCAGAGACUCACGAUAAGGUGACACCGUCGCCCUGUCUCAUGGACUUACGGCAAGGGCCCAGACUGCCCGGUCGUGCCACGUGGAAAACUCGCGGGUGCUCUACGGGCCCGCUCGACUUUCACAUCAACUCGCGGGUACCCCUUAGGGUCGACCCGACUUCAACAAUGGUCUCAAGUAAAGUCAAGGUAACCGUGUGUCCAAACAUCAAGGGGAAAACCCGAGGAAUCACCCAUGGAGGAUUCCACUCAAUGUAAUGAUCAAGGUGAACGUAAGAGGGACCACCCUCGAGGUUCACACUUGAGGUGUUGAACGACAUAGCCGUAUCGGGAAUGGUGAAAGAGGAAAUCACCCUCGAUGACCAUGACCGAAUAGCUACACUACAGAAUUAUCAUCAUGAGUGCGUUAUGAGGGAUCACCCUCGGCGCUCGAUAGUAGCCCUACAGAGUCGAGCAACUAAAGGGGCGUGAUGUGAUGUGAGGUGUCGGGCUCUAGUCAUCGAUCACGUCGAUCGAGGCAUCGAUGAUGAAGCAGGGACAACAAGGACAAGUGGGGGUCACUGAAGGAUCACUAGCCAACCUAUACUAAGCAGUUUAGGAUAAGCAGGUAGAUAACAAUAAGCAGGUACAAAAACAGGCUAUGCAUCAAAAUAGGAGCAAUCAAUUACAGUAGCAAAAUCUAAUGCAAGCAUGAGAGAAUAGAAUGGGUGAUAUUGGGAUGAUCAAAGGGGGGGGCUUGCCUGGUUGCUCAGACAAGAAGGAGGGUCGUCGGUGACGUAGUCGAUCACAGUGGCAUCAGCAGCGAUCUCAGGGUCUACCGGAGAGAAGAGUGGGAAGAAACAGUAAAUACAUGCAAACAUAUGCAUAAAAUGACAAUAAGCGGUGCUAGAGGUGUUCUAACGCAGGGUAACACGAUACCGGUAAAGGGGGACAACAUCCGGGAAAGUUCUCCCGGUUCCGGACGUCUGUGAGACAAAUGAACUAGAGGGGAAAGGUUGCAUGUUCGCUAUGCUAGGGACGUGUGGCGGAUGAACGGACCGCGUGCUCGGAUUCGUCUCAUCGUUCUGAGCAACUUUCAUGUAUAAAACUUUUUCAUCCGAGCUACGGUUUAUUUCCUAUGAUUUUUCAAAGAUUUAAAAAUAUUUCUAGAAUUAUUUAAAAUUAACAGAAAUGGAAUGAUGACGUCAGCAUGAUGUCACUAUUGUGUCAGCAAGUCAAACCGCCCGGCCCAGGUCAAACCUGACCUGCGGGACCCACCUGUCAUGGACAGUGGGUUAAACAGAGUUAGUUUCAAAUCUAUACAGAGUUAAUUAACUAAUGGGCCCAGCCUGUUAGUGGGUAUUUAGCUAAUCUAAUUAAGUUUUAAUUAAAAUCCUUUUAGUUAAAUUAGUUAAACGAAUGGGCCCACACGUCAGUGGCCCACGGGUGCCCAGUCAGCAGUUGUCUGGGUCAACCCAGUCACCUGGGAGCCGUGGGGCCCACGGUCAGUGGCUGUGAGGUGGGGCCCGAAGGGCCACGUCGGCGGGCGGCGCCGGAGACGGGCCGAUGACCAUUUCCGUGGCGGAGCUCGCCGGAUUUCACUGGAAAUCAUGCACAUGGGGGGUAUUUUGGCGCGGGACUUGGUGUGUUUGAUCGGGAAAAGGAUAUCGCGUCGAUCUACGGCACGCACGCGGUCUAAAACGGAUGGAGUCGACGGCUGUGUCGACCGCGGCGUCGCCGGAAUUCGGCCGAGGUGCGGCAAGCAGCCAGAGGGCACGUGGGUACGAGCUAGAGGCUCGGGCGGCACUAGGGCGGUGCCCUGAGGACGUUGUCGUGCUUGCCCGGCCUUGGCAACGACUAUAGCGGUGGCGGCCAGCUGCUCGACGGAGCCGAGCUCAGCCAUGGCAGACGGCGGCGUCGGCCUAGAACAGGGGAAGUGGCUACGACGCACGGGGCAACAAGGAGAGGGAGGAAAGGUGCAGAGCUCACAGUGAGGCACACAGUGGCCGGCAAUGGGCUUAGGAGCGCAGGAGGACGGCGAAUCAGGGUGGUGGAGUUCGUCGGUGCCGAGGAGGAAGACUAAGGCGAUCCGGCGACGGAGUGCUCCCCGGCUCGCGUUCCUGGGCGUAGAGGAAGUAGCGGACGGCGGCGCGUCUUCUGAGCAGGGUCUCGAGGCGUGGGGAGCACGGUGGCCGCAGUGACGACGGAGGACGGCGGCUGGCGCGCUCGGGUAGUGGGGAGAAAGGGCGAGCGCGGGCGAGGGAGAAAGGGGAAUGGAUCUGGGAGGGGGCGAGUGGGAGAGGUGGCAAGGGGGAGGCCGAGGAGUCGCCCUUAUCCCCUCGGGGCGGUGUCGGUGAGGUGGGUUCGACGGGGACGCGCCCCUGUUCGGGCGCGGUCGGGGAGCAGUGCGCGGGGAGAGAACACGAGAAGGACAUGGGAGUGGGCCGACUUGCUAGGGUGGGCUAAAGCCCGGUGGGCAAAGGAGGGGGUGGCUUCUCUCUUUCUUUUUUUUUGUAUUUUGUUUUGCCCUUUAUUUCCUUUCUGUUUUAUUCCUUAAAGGGCAUUUUUAUACUUUAUAAAAUAUAGGUUUCCAUAUGACAACUAACCAGGGAUUAUUGGCCACAACUUGAACAUUUUAGAUUUAAUGUUUGAGAAUUUUGAAUUUAGGAAUAUAGUUUGAAUUUGAAUUUGGAUUGCGAUUUGGAUCAAGCGAGGAUUAGCAACAGUAAUGUUAUGACGUGGCAUCAUCAGCAGAGGAUUACUGUAGCUUAAUUAUUCGGGCGUCACAAUUCUCCUCCACUACAAGAAAUCUCGUCCCGAGAUUUAAGGGGUGUAGUAGGGGGAUAGACUCGAAAAGGAUGGGGCUCAACACAAGAUAGGUACCUGGGGGCUAUCUCGCGACGUGGCAUAGAGGCAUCUCUCGAGUUGAAUUUCAAGAAAGUCAACGAGAGCAAGGUAAGGAGGAGCAAUAAGAAACUUCAAGCGAUGGACAAUCGUUCGAUGUCUGAAACAGAGUGUGAAAGGGGUUCAGUGCAUCGAAAAUAAGUAUUGCAUCUGAUAGCAGAACAAAUCACAAGAAGGUAGCUCAUGAAUUACAUACGAAGCCAAGCGUGAGGAACAAUUUUGGAAGACAAAGAUGUUCAGGAGAGUCAGGUUUCGAUCCUGUGGAAUUGUGGGUUAUGGGCCCACCAUGGCGGUUAAAGCUAGGAAGGGCGCUAACAUAUGCAUGGUCAUGAUAGCAAGGUAGGUCAGAGGAUAGCCUGUCAGUUAUAUUGGCAGCAACGUUGGUACCAAGGGCGAGGGACGAAGAGAACCAUUUUCCUGCUCGUUGAAUGAGGCGGACCAAUAGGCAAAGUUCUCGUCCAUCGGUGGCUACCGGAAUGUCAUCAACAAUAGUAACAAGGUCUUACUGACAGAGUUGUAUAUCGAGUCAAUUACAUAAGCAGGGAAUUAUCUCUGCUCGGAUAUGUUAGUUACAAGAAAAUUUAAACAACGCAAUGGAGAAUUGAAUCAGAUAUCGGUGUUCUCGAGUGCCUAACAACUUAGAACCCGUGGAAUAUUUGAAUCGGCGAGGAUAAUAGUUGAUGAAGAACUCAUAAGAAGUUAUGUAGUUCCGGGAUAUUCUCGAGAUACCAGAGGGUAAUACUCGAGGGUAUAGCAGAACAGAGGUUGGACGGGUGAAAUGAUCUACAAAAGACAAGUACUUCCACUUGUCCAAGAAAUCACAUAAAAGAAGAACAAUCAUGGUUCGAACCACGGUUGCGAAGGACCAAACAUAGAUACAAGAUGAACUUAUCACAAGAGGAUUAUUAUUGUAACAAGAAGCUUCCAUGAUAGGAUCUACAUCGUGUCCAUGGGCAUGAACAUAAAUUUCAAGGUCGACUCCCACUUCUCCAAUGCACAACCUUCCAUUCACUUCUCGCAUUCAAAGAAGUUGUAGCAUUGAAUAUUUACCUGGAAAAAAGACAUCAGAGUAUAACCCGCAUAAUUUUUGAGUUCACACGGAUUUAGGGAAGACAUAGAUUCAACCCAAUGAGGCAUCUUAGGAACAUAUAAUGCGAACUUCACGAGUAAAUAAAGCCCGAAAGCAGAGUAUGGUUGGCAAGAGCGGGGGAUACAAUUUACCAAAGGCAUUAUGUAUCCGAGGAAAGGCUCACAAGGUUACUGUAUAUGAAGGACGUUGUCAGAUAGAACCCCACAAAGGAUCUAGUGGUUCACAAGGUAUCUGAUGUGAGUAUCGAUACUCAACCAGAAGAAGAAGAAAAGGCAAGGAGAUCAGGUUAUAGAAACAACUGACUAAUUCAAAGCUCAAGUGCAUAGGAAUUAUGAUUUCCAAAACGGUGGGUCAGAAGCAAAGGCUCUGAUCAAAGACAAGUAAGUUGAAUAGACUUAGAUCAAUAAUCAAUCAAAGCUUGAUUUAUCGAACACCAGCUUAUGUCCAGGGGUGACAUCAGAGCCGAUGGGAAGAAUUCUAAAUAGGGUUGAUGAUCACGAGCAUUCACGAAUGAAUCGAAUCAAAUGCUCGAAAUAGCGAUGACAAAGGAUGCUAAUGAGUAUUGCUAGACAUAUGGAAGUAACCAUAAUACAAGCAGAUAAAUAUUAGCAGAGCAAUAGUUGGAGAGGAUUAUCGGAAGAUCGGAUGGUAUUCCAAAAUAUCCUAUGAAUCACAUGAACAACUAUGGAUGAAUGGAUACUCGACAAGCGCGAGUAAUUAUCCGUAGGGGAUAUUUAUGUGACAAAUAAAUGCACGGUAGUAGGCUCAACGGAUUCUCAGGACAACAGAGAGUAAUUAGGGCAUCUUGUAAUAACAAGAGCAACUGGGGAUGAAGGUAUGAACGGCAAUGUAGGUAGUUACCUAUAAGGACUUCUUGGUGGUAGGGAUCGCAACAGCGAAGGGCACAAGGGUCUCGGGAACACAUCGAAGAGUAUCUCCAGAAUCUUCCGAUGCACCAAGUAAUAAUCUAGAGUGAGGGGCUCCCAGGAGAAAGUAUUUAUGAGAACCUAGAGUUAGAGUUAACAAAAUCAUUUACCCUGAAAAGAAGAGAGAUUAGAGGCCCAGAGUAAAGGUCGAGGAGUAAAAGAUCCUAAUACCACCCAAUGGCGACAUGGGCCCAUAAGCCACACAACCAUGUUAGUAAAACAUUUUUUUAAACACUAGACUCAACUUCGACCAAGGAGUUGGAAAGGGAGAUCCUACAGGUAGUCGGCUCUGAUGCCAACUUGUGAUGCCCCCGAUUCAAUCGUACACUAAUCAUACACGCAAAUGUGUACGGUCAAGAUCAGGGACUCACGGGAAGAUAUCACAACACAACUCUAGACACAAAUCAAAAUAAUACAAGCAUUAUAUUACAAGCCACGGGCCUCGAGGGCUUGAAUACAAGCUCGAUACACAAGAGUCAGCGGAAGCAACAAUACCUGAGUACAGACACAAGUUAAACAAGGAUGCCUUAAGAAGGCUAGCACAAAAUCAACAACGAUCGAAGAGGCAAGGCCUCCUGUCUGGGACCUCCUAACUACUCCUGGUCGUCGGCGAUCUUCACGUAGUAGCAUCCAUCAGCGGUGGCAUCUGGCUUCAGGGAUCCACCAUCUGGUUGCAUCAACCGGAAAGAAGAAAGAAGGGGGAAAAGGGGUAGCAAAGCAACCGUGAGUACUCAUCCAAAGUACUCGCAAGCAUCAGAUCUAUACUAAGUAUGCAUUGGUAUCAAAUGUAAGGGUUGUAUCUGUGGACUGAACUGCAGAAUGCCAGAAUGGAGGGGAAGGCCUAGCCUAACGAAGACUAGCAUCUUCAAGCAGCUCCGAACAUCUUGCAGCAUGUAGAAGAGUAAAGAAUAGCAGCUUAUAAUUUAACAAACAUGUUGUAGAACCAACGCCCAGAGAUCCUUCCUCGACUCCCUGCGAGAAAGUAAUCCUGGAGCCACAUAUCCAUCACAUGUCUCAAGUAUCCAUUUCUAGUUAUAUAAGAUCAGGAUAUAAGUCUGAACGUCCAUUACCGUGGACACGGUAUUCGAAUAUAUAUCUUCCCUGCAGGGGUGCACCACAUUACCCAACACGCUCGAUCACUCUGGUCGGACACACCUUUCUGGGGUCAAUGCCCGGCCUCGGAAGAUCAACACGUCGCAGCUCUACCUAGGCUCAGCAGAGAGGUCCCCGCCGGUCUACCUCCUAAGCACUCUAGGGUCUGGGCCCAUCGCCCGUUGCACUCCGGGUCGUUGCGAGCAGGGCGGACCAGGCUCCACCACUACAGGAUGGUGCCGGCCCAGCCGUGCCGCACUGCUGAACUGGACGUAUGACAAAGCUUCGGCUGAUACCACGACGUCGAGGCCCAUAUUUAUUCUCACGUGGUGGUUAGUGCGUAAAGGCCAGAGGCCAACUCAGAACAAAUACCCAAACCUAUUAGUGCAUUGGGGGCUCGCGGAGACGAGCAGAGACUCACGAUAAGGUGACCCCGUCACCCCAUCUCGUGGACUUACGGCAAGGGCCCAGACUGCCCAGUCGUGCCACGUGGAAAACUCGCGGGUGCUCUACGGGCCCGCCCGAAUUUCACAUCAACUCGCGGGUACCCCUUAGGGCUGACCCGACUUCAACAAUGGUCUCAAGUAAAGUCAAGGUAACCGUGUGUCCAAACAUCAAGGGGAAACCCCGAGGAAUCACCCAUGGAGGAUUCCACUCAAUGUAAUGAUCAAUGUGAACGUAAGAGGGACCACCCUCGAGGUUCACACUUGAGGUGUUGAACGACAUAGCCAUAUCGGGAAUGGUGAAAGAGGAAAUUACCCUCGAUGACCAUGACCGAAUAGCUACACUAUAGAAUUAUCAUCAUGAGUGCGUUAUGAGGGAUCACCCUCGGCGCUCGAUAGUAGCCCUACAGAGUCGAGCAACUAAAGGGGCGUGAUGUGAUGUGAGGUGUCGGGCUCUAGUCAUCGAUCACGUCGAUCGAGGCAUCGAUGAUGAAGCAGGGACAACAAGGACAAGUGGGGGUCACUGAAGGAUCACUAGCCAACCUAUACUAAGCAGUUUAGGAUAAGCAGGUAGAUAACAAUAAGCAGGUACAAAAACAGGCUAUGCAUCAAAAUAGGAGCAAUCAAUUACAGUAGCAAAAUCUAAUGCAAGCAUGAGAGAAUAGAAUGGGUGAUAUCGGGAUGAUCAAAGGGGGGGGGGGGCUUGCCUGGUUGCUCAGACAAGAAGGAGGGUCGUCGGUGACGUAGUCGAUCACAGUGGCAUCAGUAGCGAUCUCAGGGUCUACCGGAGAGAAGAGUGGGAAGAAACAGUAAAUACAUGCAAACAUAUGCAUAACAUGACAAUAAGCGAUACUAGAGGUGUUCUAACGCAGGGUUACAUGAUACCGGUAAAGGGGGACAACAUCCGGGAAAGUUCUCCCGGUUCCGGACGUUCGUGAGACAAAUGAACUAGAGGGGAAAGGUUGCAUGUUCGCUAUGCUAGGGACGUGUGGCGGACGAACGGACCGCGUGCUCGGAUUCGUCUCAUCGUUCUGAGCAACUUUCAUGUAUAAAACUUUUUCAUCCGAGCUACGGUUUAUUUCCUAUGAUUUUUCAAAGAUUUAAAAAUGUUUCUAGAAUUAUUUAAAAUUAAUAGAAAUGGAAUUAUGACGUCAGCAUAACAUCGCUACUACGUCAGCAAGUCAAACCGCCUGGCCCAGGUCAAACCUGACCUGCGGGACCCACCUGUCAUGGACAGUGGGUUAAACAGAGUUAGUUUUAAAUCUAUACAGAGCUAAUUAACUAGUGGGCCCGGCCUGUUAGUGGGUAUUUAGCUAAUGUAAUUAAGUUUUAAUUAAAAGUCUUUUAGUUGAAUUAGUUAAACGAAAGGGCCCACGCGUCAGUGGCCCACGGGUGCCCUGUCAGCAGUUGACUGGGUCAACCCAGUCAUCUGGGGCCCGUGGGUUCCGCGGUCAGUGGCUGUGAGAGCAUCUCCAACAGUCGCGCUAAACUAGCGCCGCGCCGCAAAAUAGGCCUUUUUAGCGCGCGCGCAAUGCGGCGGCUCGCUCCAGCGGGCGCGCAAAAACGGUGCGCGCGCGAUAACGGGUUGGGCGCGCGGUCAAAAACACUUAUCCGCGCGGUGUAUUUGGAGCGCCAGCUACAGCGCGCGGCACACUCGAGCGCUCGCGCCCGCACUCUUUCCCUCUCCUCGUCCUACGAGCAUCUCCAACAGUCGCCCCAAACGACGCGCGCGUGCGGUAAACGCAGCUUUUAGCACGCGCGGGGCGCUUUGCCGCGCUCUAGCGGCCGCGGGAAACAAGCGCGCGCGGGAACCAUUAGCGCGCGCGAAAAGGCGCCAGCUCGCGCGCAAGAUUUGGCGCGCUGCUUCGCGCGCGCCUAUAAAAGCUGCGCGCGCCACGUGCCUUCUCCACACACAUCUCUUCCCCUCUCCCUCUCCCUCUCUGCCACGCGCCGCUCCAGCGCCCCGCCACCAACGCGCCGCCAUGCCGCCGCGCCACCGAGGAGCGUCCGGCUACCGCGGCGUCCGCCUGCGGCCCAACGGCAGCUACACCGUAGAGAUACGCUCCGGCGAACUCCGGCUCGCCCACGGCACGUACGGGACGGCGCGACAGGCCGCCCGCACGUACGACGCGGCGGCGUGGCGCCUAGGCCGGCCGCGCGGCCAGAUGAACUUCCAAGAUGUGUACACGCUCGAGCAAGCGCUCAACCUCGCCCCUCUGCCUUGUCUGAACACGGCGGAAGACCGUGCGGAGCACGCCGAGCGGCAACGCCGCCUCCUCGUCGCCCAGGAGGAUGAGAGGGUCAUGGCGGACUGGCGCCAGCGCCACCCGGAGGACGUCGCCUACGAGCAAGCCUACUGGGCAAGGCGCCGCGAGGAGGACACACAAAGGCGCCACGCGUCGCGGUUGGACAGGCGUCGGCGGAAGGCGUUGGCGAAUGCGCAGACCGACCUCGUUGUAGCAGGUGGCGGUCGUUCUUCACGCCGAACGAUGAGCGGUGGCUGGACAUCUGGCUAUCUACCUCGGACGACACCACCGAGGAUGAUAGUGGUGAUGAUGAUAGCGACUUAGAGUAGUUUUUUUGUUAAUGCAAUCUAUGUUUAUCGUUUGUCGUUUUUAUUUUAUGCAAUCUAUGUUUCGGAUGUAAAAUACCUUUGUAUCGUUUAAUCUAUGCAAUCUAUCUAGUUUUUUUAAAAAUUUCAACUUUUAAAAAUGCAUACAUUUCUAGUCGCGCGCACUGCAUUUUAGCGCGCUGCCGGAGCGGCGCGCGCGCGCUGCAUUUCAGCGCGGCUGCUGGAGCCAGCGCAGGCGGGCGCGCAAAACCAGCCGCAGCGCGCGCGCUAACAGGUUUUUUGCGCGCGGCGCUUUAGCGCGGCUGUUGGAGAUGCUCUACGCCCCGCGCGCGCCGGCGCCGGCGCCCUGCCCCCCGCCAUGGACGCGCACACCGGCACCCCGCUCACCCCGCUGUACAUCCGCGACCCUCCCGCCGCCGCCGCCGCAGUCGCCGCCGCCGCCGCCGCUGGAAACCAUAGCGCGGCGAGCGCUGGCGUCGCCACCGCCUGAGCUCCGCCGAGCGUCGGCCUCACGUGCAGCCUCUUCUUGCCGCCGCAGAUGACUACGGCGCCGGCGCCGGGUGGCGUCGCGUCGACGCCAUCCCGUGCCGCUGCCGCACCGUCGAAGAAGGUACCCAAUGCGGCGCGGGCGAAGAAGGGCAAAACAUCCGCGAAGAAGAACAAGGCGGCGGACGGCUCCGGCAUGGUGAGAGGGAAAAAGCUUGCAGGGCGUUCGACGGCCGUGGCGGCUACCGAAGCGCCGGUGAGCUCACUCGUUGAGCCGGCCGCCGACGCGCACCACGUGUUCGACGAAAUGCCCCCAAGGUGAAAAAUUUCCAAGUAUUUUUUUCUUCUUAUUUGUUCAAUGCAUCAUCAUUUUACAUAUAGAUAGCUUAUUUGCAUUGUUCAAAAAAAUUGUAGUCUCAACGAUGAUGCAUACAUGUCCACUAUGGGUGUUGGGUCCAACAAUUCGCAUUGGUCUCAAACCAAUGACAUCCAUUUCGAAGACCAUGAGUUUGAGGUGGACGAGGAGGGUGAGGGAAUUGUCGAGGCGCCGAGAGGAAGAGCGGGCAAUUACUCCACCAUCGAUGACAAGUUACUAUGCUACACUUAUUUGCAUGUGUCGAAGGAUCCAUCCAUUGGAGGUGAUCAAAGUAGAGACGCGUAUUGGGGGCGAAUGACAGAACACUUUAAUGCUCACAACAAGAGUGGAAUUUACCGCUCUGAGAGAUCACUUCGGUCCCGAUGGUCGACAAUCAACUCGGAUUGUCAAAAGUGCGCGGCCGCGCAAAAGUCGGUGGACAAGAUUAACCCAAGUGGCACAAAUGAGGAUGAUCGAGUAAGUGGCAUCUCAUAUAUGUUCAUCAUACUUGUUUUUGGUGACCGAAGUGCUAACUUGUUUUGUUUUUCUUGUAGUACAACAUUGCACAAAACUUGUUCAAAGUAGAGACAAGGACAACCAAGAAGGGGAAGAUCAAGAAAGGCAGGAUCUUUACCUUGCCUCAUUGCUAUGAAGUGUUAAAGGAUGAUGAGAAAUGGAAGAAGCGUGAUGGUUUGGAGGAUUUGCAUUUGAGCAACAAACGGAAGCGAGCAAUUGAGAUGAAUGAUGAUGAUGAGGAGGAGGAUGCAUCAAGUGAUGACGGCAAGAGAAGCCCCACACCCAACUUGGUUUCAUACUCGAAGCCAAAACGACCGGAUGGGUGCAAGAAAGACAAAACCGAAAAGAAGAAGAAGAAAGGAGAUGAUGAGCUCAAAAAUGCUAUGGAAGCUAUUGUGAAGGCAAGGGUCGAAGCGAAUGAGGUGAGGAAAAUGGCAAGGAACCAAGAUGUCGUGGCCGAGGAGAGGAGGUUGGCGGCCGAGGAGAGAAGGGUGGCGGCCGAGGAGAGAAAGGUGACUUUGGAGGAGAGGAAAGUGAGCAACGAGGAGCGAGCUAAGUUGUUGGAAUGGGAGAAGCACUUGUUCUUCAUGGACACAUCUAACCUCAAUGCGGCGCAAAAGGAGUAUGUCAAUCUUGCCCAACAAGAAGUCUUGAUCCGAAAAAGAGCCUUGGUUCGUGCAAUGGGUGGCGAUGGCCUCGGCACCAUGGGAGGCAUGGGUGGCUUCGGCGCCGUGGGAGGCGGUGGCCUCGGCGCCAUGGGAGGCAUGGGUGGCCUCGGCGCCAUGGGAGGCGGUGGCCUUGGCGCCAUGGGAGGCAUUGGUGGCUUUGGAGGCAUGGGAGGCAUGGGUGGCUUUGGAGCACCCUCCGACGCUAUGGCCGCCAUGGGAGGCAUGGGUGCACCUCCGGCCGCCAUGGGAGGCAUGGGUGGCUUUGGAGCACCCUCCAACGUUAUGGCCGCCAUGGGAGGCAUGAGUUUUGCUUCUCUCAUGGGAGGCAUGGGUGCACCUCCGGCCGCCAUGGCUUCUCACACACAUUCCUAUGAAGAUGCCAUUGAAGAUCUUGCCAACACCGUUGGAGCUUCACAUGAUGCAGUGCGUGAUGCGGUGCAUGAUGGGGAUAGGGAGGAAGGUUCAUCUUCGAAGGCGGAAGAGUCGUCUUCGGAAGAGGACGAAGACGAAGAAGAGGAAUAUGAAGAUGAAGCUUGAUGUGUCUUUCAUGUCUUGAACUUUUAGUUUGCAUUUGAACUUGGUUGGAUGAACUUGUGGGCAUGAUUUUGAUGAACUUGUGGGCAUGAACUUUUAUUCAUCAACUUGUUUGUGUCAAAUUUUACAUGUUCAUUUUUGUCCAAAAUAUCCAUAUAUGCAAAAUGCCCGAUGAGUCGCGCGCGCUGCAUUUUAGCGCGCUGCUGGAGCGGCGCGCGCGCGCUGCAUUUCAGCGCGGCUGCUGGAGCCAGCGCAGGCGGGCGCGCAAAACCAGCCGCAGCGCGCGCGCUAACAGGUUUUUUUGCGCGCGGCGCUUUAGCGCGGCUGUUGGAGAUGCUCUGAGGUGGGCAGCGCGGGAGAUGCGCCGGCGACCAUUUCCGCGGCGGAGCUCACCGGAUUUCGCCGGAAAUCACGCACAUGGGGGUCUUUUGGCGCGGGACUUGGCGCGUUUGAUUAGGAAAAGGAUGCCACGUCGAUCUACGGCACGCACGCGGCCUAAAACGGACGGAUUCGACCACGGCGUCGACCGCUGCGACGCCGGAAUUCGGCCGAGGUGCGGCAAGCAGCCAGAGGGCACGUGGGGACGAGCUAGAGGCUUGGGCGGCACUAGGGCGGUGCCCUGAGCAUGUUGUUGUGCUUGCCCGGCCUUGGCAACGACUAUAGCGGCGGCGGCCAGCUGCUCGGCGGAGCCGAGCUCGGUCAUGGCGUACGGCGAUGUCGGCCUCGAACAGGGGAAGUGGCUACGACGCACGGGGCAAUGAGGAGAGGGGGGGAGGUGUCGGGCUCACAGUGAGGCACACGGUGGCUGGCGAUGGGCUUAGGAGCGCAGGAAGACGAUGAAUCGGGGCGGCGGAGUUCGUCGGUGGCGGGGAGGAAGACUAAGGCGAUCCAGCGAUGGAGUGCUCCCCGGCUCGCGUUCCUGGGCAUAGAGGAAGUAGCGGAUGGCGGCACGUCUUCUGAGCAGGGCCUCGAGGCGUGGGGAGGACGGUGGCCGCGGUGACGACGGAGGACGGCGGCGGGCGCGCUCGGGCAGUGGGGAGAAAGGGCGAGCGCGAGCGAGGGAGAGAGGGGAGUGGAUCUGGGAGGGGGCGAGUGGGAGAGGUGGAAAGGGGGAGGCCGAGGCGUCGCCCUUAUCCCCUCGGGGCGGCGCCGACGAGGUGGGUUCGACGGGGACGCGCCCCUGUUCGGGAGCGGUCGGUGGAGCAGUGCGCGGGGAGAGAACACGACAAGGACAGGGGCUUCUCUCUUUCAUUUUUUUUUAUUUUCUUUUGCCCUUUAUUUCUUUUCUAUUUUAUUCCUUAAAGGGAAUUUUUAUACUUUAUAAAAUAUAUGUUUCCAUAUGACAAAUAACCAGGGAUUAUUUGCCACAACUUGAACAUUUUUAGAUUUAAUGUUUGAGAAUUUUUAAUUUAGGACUUUAGUUUGAAUUUGAAUUUGGAUUGCAAUUUGGAUCAAGCGAGGAUUAGCAACAGUAAUGUGAUGACUUGGCAUCAUCAGCAGAGGAUUACUAUAGCUUAAUUAUCCGGGCAUCACACACGCGUCGUGGGCGGCGUACUUCCAGCACCGCUAGGAGCAGAGGCUGGCGUCCACCAACGGGGCGCCAGUGGUGGGCGGCCUAAAAAAUAGAGAGGGGCACUGCGUAUGGUGGGGCGCCCCCGGGCGCACGCUCCACAACAUGCUGGAGUACCUCGAGGGCGGCAAUGACCCGCCGCUGGCAUGCCCUACCGCGACGGCCGCCCCGGUCCCCCGCCGGAGCACCGGGCAAUGGAUGCCCAAGAUGUUCGGCUCCUCCUCGACUUCCUCCUCUCACUCCUCCUCCCGCUCUUCUUUCCAUUCCUCCGGCUCGCCGGCGGUGUUCGGCGUCAAGGCCGAGCCCGCAGCGAGGACGCCGCUCGGCAUGUUCACUCGUAGCAUGCCUCCUCCUCAUCUCCUUCGCGCUUCGUCAAACCAAAGACGAAGCCGGGGCUCCCCGCCGUGAAGAUGGACCCCGGUGUCGGGGAGCUCGACGACGCGGCGGCCUUGAAAUGGGCGCGCGAUGACUGGGUGCACAUGGAGAUGGAGCUCCAGCGCCGCGCCCUAGAGCAGUUCGAAGCUCGGCACCGAGGCCGCGAUGAGGGAGGCGUCAUCGUCCUCGACGACAGUGACGAUGAUGACGCGCCGCCGCCGCCACCGGACCACCAGGGCGAUGCCAGGCAGGGGUCCAGCAGGGGCGGCCGCGUCAAGGAGGAGACGGCCGCCGCCGCCGCCGACGAGGAUGGCGGCGACGUUGGCGACUUCGUCGCGCUUAGCGACUUCUUCGGCCCGUAGUUGUAGUUGCGGCUUUUUUUAAUAACUUUGCUUUGUAAAAUGUCAAACAUGUCAAAUAUAUGCCUAGUUUGCCGAAUUUUAGCCGAACUUUGCCGAAUACUCUCUUUUUUAAAACAUAAACGGGCGUCUGAGGGUGACCCUGGGGUCAGCAUUUGGGUACCCACUCGCCCCCUCGCUGAUUUUUAGCGCCGGCUCACCCCCAGGCGGUGAUUUUACACGCCCCCUGGGGGGGCUAACGGCUGGAGAUGCUCUAAGAACCCUCGGUGCUCAUAGUACAGUUUUCAAAUGGGAUCCGCUGGUUCUGCCUCGUAUCUGUUGAACAUGUAGUAUAGGAGUACGUGUAUACGACUAGUGCCUUGUAUUUUAUACCUAUUAAUAGAAAAUAUGUAUUUUUAAAAUACACCUCUGAUGUUUCUAACAUUAAACUUGCAGUACAUAUCAAAUAUUUUUUUAAAUACUCAUAUCUUAAACCGUCACUCCAAAUUUAACAUGUUAUAUAUGAAAUUUGAUUAGAAAAAUAUAUAGAAUCUGAAUCUGAUGUUAUUUUAUUUUACUUGUUAACCGUUUAAAAUAUAUCUAGGGUGCAAUCUUAAUCAACAAUUGAUUAACCGUCUUUUUUUUCAUAUCGGUAUUGAUCUGGAUUCUGGAUGAACAUCUCAACAAAAUUAGGAUUGGAGACGAAAUUGAAAAUCACUUGCCCGUUUCUUUGUAAGUAUUAAAUCUACAUGCAAGUCGUGUUUAAGUAGAAGACAUGUGGAAUCUUGAACUUGCACUUUUCGUAUGCAAAGACCAUCUUUGUUUGGCCUGUAGCUAACAAAUACUCAGAUUAUAGACCAUUUUUUGUAAAGUAAGAGUAUGUGGUAUUCUUUUCUCCCGUAGCAAAGCACGGGCCCUUUUGCUAGUUUAUUUUAUUUGCAUGAUAAUAUGUGUCUCAUUCAUAUUAUAGAGACUAGCAAGAUGCCCGUGCAUUGCAUGGAACACCAAUAUGCAUUUUACAAGACACAUGUUGUGAUUGACCCAUGCAGGAGUAAAUCCAUGUGUAGAAACUAAUGACAUCUCGAAAAAGGGGAGAGAUAAGGUGAGGAGGAGUGGGGCGUGGUGGUGAUUGGUGGUCAGACGAGCGGAGGCAUGGGGAUGGACGACGUUGGCGGCGGCCACCAUGCCAGAUUGUUCCAGGGGGUUCCUUUUUAAUUGCUCAACAAUAAGGUUAUGGGAGAUAAGGAUGAAUGAGGAAAUGCCUUAUCUGCAAAUGUGGAGAGAGGUGUAGGUAUCUUUUUACAAAAUUAUCAUAGUUUAUUUUCUAUCCGUCAAAUAUAGAUUGGAUGGUCUAUAUUGCAAGAUGGCAAGCACACCAUCAUUACCAACUCGUUUUUUUUAUAAGAGUAGAGAUUAUAGUACAUGUCACGUAAAGACCGGCACGAUAAAACUGAAAAGGCAGCAGAACAUCUCUGAGCUUGACACCAACGUUCAUCACCUGCCCCCGGCACCACCAUAGUAGCCAUAAAAAAUGAUGAAUCACCUCCUCACCCGAGCUCGACGAGGCUCCAUCACUGAUAUGCGCCUGCCAUUUAUUGUGUUGUAUCUCAUCCUUCCCCAUAUAUUUGUACAUUUUGGGAGGCAAGUAGAGCCGACACCUGUUGUAUCUAUAUAUGUGCAUCAUGCACAUCAUCAAUGAAUUAUCAAUGCAUGCAAUCCCUUCUUUCCAUCUAACAUGAUAUCCGUUUAGCAGGUAGAUCCUAUCCUUGCUUCCGCGAUCGUCUACCUCCGCUGCACCCUGUCGUCGCCGCCGCGGCACCAUCUCCUCCCACCGCAACCGCUCGCUCCUCCUGCCACCGUUGCUUCUUCCCUCCCCUCCCACCCAAAACCCCUAACCCUCCACCUUAGCCGCCAGUCCGUACAACAGUCGCCACCCUCCCAAGUCCCAACCCUACCACCUUCCCUUCGCAGUCCCCAUGGCCUCUCCAUCGUCCUUGAUGUCCGGCGCGUCCAACCCCUUCGUCACACCCGACCCCCCCUAUCGCCGACAUAUGCGAUCUCAAUAUCUAUGAGAGUGUUCCCAUCCGCCUUGAUCAGUCUAGCUCCGCCUACUGCGCGUGGAAGACCUACUUCAACCUGGUCUUCCACGAGUACUACCUCACCGAGCACAUCGAUUGCGCCAUCGAUGGUGAGGUCAUGAAGGCUAACCCGGAAUGAUCUGCCAUUGAGGCCACGCUCAUCUGAUGGUUCUACACAUGAAAAUGUAGAGAGAUAACUCAUUUGAUCCUCGUAAGGAAAACAUGGUAGCUCUGUUCGAGGAUGAUCUUCUUCUCUCCUUGCUAAGAUGUAAACUCAAGAGAAGAAUUUGUGUUUUCCCAUGGAAAAAAUUGAUGCAAGUAUUUAGGGGUACCAAGUUACCAUUUUUAGGAAAACUCAGGGUUACAUGGUAUACCCUUUUAUUGUGGGUGUCACCAAACUAGCCCUACAUAUUCUAUGUUGGUCCAUACCUCCUUGAGAUCCUCUAAAGAAUCACUCGGUGCUCACACUUAAUUCCUCCCUCUACCCUAAAAAAGGUACUCCCUCCGUUCUAAUUUACUAGUCGUGGUUUUAGUUGAACUAAAACCACGACGAGUAAAUCGGAACGGAUGGAGUAAAUAUCUAGCCCAGUUCUCGCCCCUCGUGACUCGGGUGCGACAAACGCUAGCUGCUCCCGCCCCCUCCCUCUCCUCCCCAUAGACACCCAAGCGUCUUGUCGGCAUGGUUUGCACGUCUGCCGAUGAAGGUGAUGGCAAGGCCCUACAAUCAUGCAGCGAUGCAGGAAGCUUCAUAAAGAGUGUGGUGGCCCUGGUGCGAUGGUGGUGUCGACUUCUCUCGACAGGUGGCGCUAUGAGUGUUGGUCAUCCCUAUUUGACAUGUGGGCGUUGGAGGCUCUUUGCGGCAGGGCCUGCUCCAGCGGUCGCAGCAGAUCUAGAUCCCGGUGUCACCAUCUCGGCUUUGUCUGCCCUUGUCGGAUAAGGUUCUGACUUCCUCUGGAAUGCCGGAGAUGGUCGGUUUUGAGGUUGUGGUGGUGGGAGUCCAGAAACGGUGGCGUUCUUGCUCUGUUCUCCCUCUCGAAGGGACGUGUGAAAUCCUUCCUCCUCCCCUAAUAACCUAGGUGAAAACCCUGGCCAUGUUAGACCGAGCGUCGUGAGCCUUCUUUAAUUCGUUGCCUAGGAGUGCAUGGGGGUUGUGUGCGUGCUUGUGACUUCGGGGCGGGGCGGCGGCCGUGUGUCACCUACGGGGAUGCCGACGGUAGUGGAGGUGAGGUCGUCGUCCUGCUCUCAUUUUCUGUGGCCCUCCACUCGGCCGGUCUGCGAGCUACUGAUCCGCGACAUGGUGCCUUCGUGCUAGGGAGAGGAGAGAUAGUGGUCUCUUCCCUGACCGUGGCUCGGUUGACUAGGCGGAAAAGUCAGCCCUACUCCCGCAGGUGUGAUCUUCUCUUGCCUUUGUUCGGUGCUUCAUCCGCGGCCUCUUCGGAACAUUGAUCCUUUCCAAUGACGAAUCCUUCAGGCAGCUUGAUCAAGAUGUUUCCUUUGGUGAUGUUUGCACUCGGGACCUCUCUGUUCAUCUAGUGACUUGCUUCUGUUGUUUGCAACACCAUUGUAUCCUAGCUAGUUGAUGGACACAUCAAGGUUGUUUCCCUAUUAUCCAAAAGAAAAGAUCCUCUAAGGAACUUCAUUACUUUCUUAAGAAGAGAUGUUGUUAUUUAAAUUUAUAUUGCUAAAAUUAUGUUAAAAAGGAACUUUGAAUAGUGACUCAAUAGCUGACCAUUUACUAUUGAGCAUUUGAGUAUUACUCCAUGUGUUCCAAAUUAUCUAAAGUUCUACCUCUGUUCUAAGUCAAAUUUAUUAAGUUUGACCAAGUCCUACUUAUAAAGGUUGGAGUUGGUGGUGAAUUCACUUGUGGGACCAACACCCUUCACCAAUAAAAAAAUGCACCCAUACACAUGUGGGACUAGCAACCUUUCAAGAUAUAUAAAUAUUUAAAUGCACUUUUACUCACAUGUUGGACCUAAAACAAAUUAACAAGUACUUCCUCCGUAAAGAAAUAUAAAAGCAUUCAUAUCACUAAAAUAAUGAUCUAAACGCUCUUAUAUUUCUUUACGGAGGGAGUACACUACUACUCUCACACUUGAAGAAUGCCCAAAAAAACUUGAAGAAUGCCCAAAUAACAAAAUGCAAAAAUGCGACUCCAACUCUAAAAUAUGCUCUGAAGCCGUGACCUUACUCCUUAUAAUUUUGUUUCGUAGUAACGCACGAGCAUCAUGUUAGUUUAUAGAAAAAUAUAUGAACAUCUACGACACCAAAUUAGUUUGAGUAUAUUCAUCAUAGAAUAUAUUUUCGUGCUAUAUAUAUUUGAUGUUGUAGAAUUAGAAUAUUUUCCAUAUGGUUGGUGACAUGUUGAGAAUUUUGACUUAAGGCAAAGCUAUAACUACAGAUAUUUUACAAACAGUGAAAAGGGAACAGUAUUCAAGAUGCACAUAUUAGGAUUUUGUAAUGCUUCCACUCCAAUCCCAUAUACCUAAGAGAGUGGUCUCACUACUUCUAGUUGUCCCAACAUACAUGCUUCCACAUCAUCAAAAUUGUUGUAGCACCAUCGCAAAAAAAAAUUGUUGUAACCAUUAGAUUUACUAGUUUGAUGCAUUAGCAUCUGUCCGACCUAAUCAUAAAAAUUCUUUAUCAUGCAACAUGCUUUAGCGCAUUCUUAGUGGGGUAUAAAUCACAUUGCAUUUAAUUGUGACAUGCACAACUUUUCAUAUUAAGAUUUUUUUGUUUACGCAAAAAAAUCGUACAUAGUUUAGAAAGUAUAUAUCCAACUCUGUGGCCACGUGCGGGGUAUCGUCUAGUUCAGUAAAUUAGCAAUUACUACUAUGGCAUACUACUUCAAUAGCUGCAUCUUCUAGAUGGUUUUGUGAAUAAAUCAUUUAAUAAAUGUGCUGUCAAUAUGCUAUUUCUAUCCUCAAGUUUUCAUGUUUCAGAGGAGAAUUGGCAUGAAGCAAAUGGCAAACAUCCACCCUGAUGUGCUUUGGGUCUAAAUCAUGUUAGACUUCAAUUUCAUCACCUGUAAAGCUUUAGCAAUUAGCAGUAUUUCCAAAGACAGAAAAGAUGUAGAGAAUGAACCACUGUUUCACGGAGCAGCAAGAAUUCACGUGGUCAGGUAAUAAAUCCAUUAGCAAUAGCCUGUCGAAAGAACAACUAUAGCUGUCAAAUUUUUGGCCGAAAUUAACAUUGUUCCUUAUGAACAGCGUCAAGUGCCUUCCUGACGGCAGCACGCAAUCUCGAGUCUAUGAGAAGAUUCUUCAUGGUCCUAAUCAGUGAUGGUGGUGGCGCUGGAUAUGAAACAUCAAAUGGGAUCACAAAGGGCUGGUUGCUUUCGAACAGGCUUCAUGGGACGGCACAACAAUGAUCAGUGAACAAUUUUAAUGCUGUGGCCGAUGAUUAGGAAUUUGGCAAAACAUACAGAAGUAAUUUCGACAUUUGGUGCUCUAGAGAAUUAGUGACAGUGACUUACAAUUUCUCAAUAAGAGACAAGGGAAUCAUCCUGUGUAUCCUUAUCAGGCACAAAGUCGUUAGAAAUCUCUACAAUACAUAGGAAGAAAAACUCUGCUUAGUACAGACUGCAGAGCCUCAGAUAGUUGUUCUACAUUCUACAGACUUAUAAAUGUCGCAUGUACCAUUUUCAAACUCUGAUAGAUGCUUCAGAAGCUUGAUUCAGAAAUAUUUACCGGACUCCAACACCUCAGCAUCUUUAGAUCCUGAAUUCCAAUCCUUGUGCACUAUCUUACUCACAACACUGCAGAAAAGAACAUGAUUCAUUCCCACUGAACCCAAAUUAAACAUGGCAGCUGUAGUACUGUACGUAACCGAGCGGAAGCACUUGUUCAGAUUGCAAUGCGUGACAAAAGACUGAUCAGAUUGCAACGGUGCACAAUUCUAGCUGCAUAGCUGAUCUAAAGGUAAAAUGAAGAGAUCAAAUCAGUUAGUCUUAUAAAAACAAUUUCAUCACUGAAGCAUUUCAUUAGAAUUCAGGAUCGGAGUAGUUUCAUUGAACGCAUAAUGGUAUUACAGACUACUGAACACGAACGCACGCGAGAGAAGUAGAUCCCAUCCAUCACGGCACAUAUCACACAGGUCACACGACUGCCACCAGCACAGGGA
rnacentral:lncRNA from 1 species